UUUUAGUAAAUUUUUAUAAAAGAUUAUAUUUAAUUAUUUAAUCUUCAUACUCUCUUUAAAUAUUUAUUAAAGAGAGUAUGAAGAGUAUUCAAAUCAUUACAUCGAAGAGAAAGUUUAGAUCCAACAUCAUAACAAGAAAACACAACCCACCUUCUAUAAAGAGAAGAACACUUUAUUUUCAACACUCCUUUUCUCUAGUAAAAUCAAUAUUGAAUUCACACAUUAAAAAUGGAUCCACAUAAAGUGUUGGGAACCCACAUAAAUUUCUCUUAAUUAGAAAGUAAGUGUUAGAGUGAAUUAUAUAUAAAAAAUAAAGUGUUGUUAGUAUUUUAUAAAAUGUUUGUUUGGUUCUAUGAGAAAUUGGUAAUAGUGUGAAGUAUAAAUGUGAGUAUUUCAGGUUAUACUAUUCCUCAUCCUCCUCCUGCAAAAGCGUGAGGACAACAUUGGACGCAUGCAACUUGUGUUAUAGCUUGACAUCCAUUAUCUCUAUGAAAUUAUGAAUAAAAUGAUGAUACAAGCCAAUGCGUCUUUUCUAAUAUUUAUUUGUGAAUAAAUUGUAUUUGGCAUGUUUCCUUUAAGUUGUAUUACCUGAGUUCAAUGACUGAUCUCAGUGUUAUUAACUUAAAAAAUGUCAAAGUUUAAUUUCCCUCUUAAUUGCUUUAAUUUUAUUUUCUCAAUACGAACUUAAAAAAUGUUCUUCAAUACGAACUUAUUUUCUUAGAAGGGAUAAUUUAAUUUGAUGGCUGAAUCUUGUGAAAGGAGGUUGAAUUUUCAUCAACAACUUGCAAUAAAUUUGAUUCGCGAUGGUGUGGUGGAUAUCGUGUUCUGGAAUGCUAUUGAUUUUCUUUUGGAGUGUAUUUAUUUUUGUGAUUGAGAGAUAAUAUACUUAAACUGAUGACCAGACUCGUGCCAUGGUUUGAGUGGUCGGUCUUGGGCUAUGUGGUUAGAAAUAAAAUAAAAUAAAAAAUUUAUUAUUUUUAAUGUGUUUCUCCACGUUUUUAAUUUGUUAGAUGUUUUUUUGUGUGUUGCGAUCUCCACGACCCAUUUUGCCAUUUUGCCUGCGGGUGCCUUUCUUUUAGAUGAUAUGCUCAAACUAAUUAACACGAUUUCAGGGUUGGACCAUUUCGUUUAUAAACAGAGGACUCCACUCACUUUAAAAAGCAGACUAAAACUCAACAUAUUUACGAUUUUUUUCUCUUUUUCUUGUUUUUGUUUUUUUUUAUGUAUUUCUAAACCUCUUCUCCUAUUAUUUUUGUCCGUUCCAAAAUUUUGGUUUGUCGAACUUUGAGCGGUCUUAGUACCAUAUUGACAAUGUAAUUUUAGAAUGGUUACCACAGUGGUAUGUCGAUAGAGUUUAUAAUUAUUUUAUCUUAAAAACAUUUGUUUGUAAUUAUUGUAAAAUGUAGGAUAAAUAUUAUUUUUCGGUUUAAAUAUAUAUUUGAUUCUUGUAAAUAUAUUACUUUUUUUUAUUUUAGCCUAUUAAGUUUUUUUGUUUGGAUUUAGUUCCUAUAGAAUUAGAAACGAUCAACUUUUGUUUUAACGUCAAAUCAACAUUAAAAAAUGAAGAAUUUUUUAAAAACCCUUAAACUUUUCUUUUAAUUUUUAUUCAUAUUUUCUUUAUAAAAUAAUAUUAAUUAUUAAAUGAUUAUUGAAUAAAUUUAUUAAUUAAUAAUAUAAAACAUUUUAAUUUUUAAUAUUUCAUAAAAGAUGAUAUGUUGGUGUCUAUUUAUAGGCUCAUGUGUCAUGUCAAUUUAUAACUAAAAUAAAAAAGUGGUAUAUUUGCCGGGACUAAAGAUAUAUUUAAACGUUUUUAUCUAUUAGAAAUGAUAAAUUUCACUAUAACUAAUUCACACAAAUAUAAAGUUCUAGAUUUAAAUUUGAGACAAGACCUUCACCCUAACACACUUACUAGUUGAGUUAGGGCUUAAAGAAAAUACAUUUUUUUUGUUGUUAAAUUGAUAUUUAAUGGGUACUUAUUUGAAAUUAUUGAAAUAUAGGAAGAAGUCAUUCCUCUUUGAGUGAUAUGUUUUUGUUUCGGCCGAAAGUAAAGGAAGUGGAUGAAGAAAUCGUGUUAUUUAGUACUUAAUUGAUAAUAUUUAUUUUCAUAGGGAGAUUAAAAUUUAAAAACUAUUCAAGCCAAUGACAAAUUUUAAAAUGUUUACAAAAUUAAUGCAUCCAGUCAAGGUUUAUUCUCAUUUAUGGGUUUUGAAAUUUCAAGUAAUUAAUUGUAUGAAAUAAAUGCAUUUAUAGGGAAUAAGUUUCCUUUUAAGGAUUGAAACAAAAAAAUAUUAAUUUUAAGAAUCACAUAACUACAAGUUCUAUACAUAUUGUUGGAUAUUGCCUAUUUAUAUAUUUGAUUCUUUUUCUUUGAAAAAAUAAUAUUGGAUAUUUAAUAAUUGCUAGCCUAUUCGUUUUAUUUCAUGUAGCAACGGUUGGAUCUUCGCCCAUGAUCAACAUAUGAAAGCAAAGAUUAAAAAAAAUCAAUGUAUUAUAAAGAAUUAAAAUGAUGAAAAAAAAAAACCAGUGAAGUAUAAUAUAUAGCCGAAAUUCAGUAAAUAAAAAAAAGAAGUUCAUAUAUAAAUCUAAGUUAAAAUAAAAAAUAAAAAAAUUACAAAAAAUUGGUUUUACAUAUCCUUGCUGAAAUAGAAAUUAAAAAAAAAAAAAAAACUUGAAAUAUCAACUAUAACAAAAUUGAAAUCAUAAAAUAAAAAUGAAUUGAUAUGUGAAGUAAAAAAAUCAAUGAAAAGGUAAAUUCAACUCACACAACUGCAAUGUGUCAAUUCAAACAUGAGACGAGACAUCUAUUAUAAUAAUAUUGGGAAUUAGGAUUUAAGGACAAGUAAUUUAAAUUUAUUCAUAACCAAAAACCAAAUUUAAAUGAAAAUAUUGAAAAAAUAAUUUAUAAUGUAAACUUACGGUUUAGUACAAAUAAAAGUUGAAGAUAAAAUGAUUUGAUAUAUUAAGAAUAAUCAAGUCAUUUGGUGGAUUUACCUUUAAUUGGAGGGAGAUGUAUGUGGUCGAGGUUGGAUGGAGCUUGACUUGUAUGAGUAGACUCGAUAGCUUUCUUUUGUCUGAAAAAAUCUGUGAAGCAUAGAAUUGUGUAUCUCAUUAGGCGUUGGAGAGAGACUUAUCUGAUCAUUGUCCUAUCUGGUUGUUUAAUGGGGGAUUAGGGACCUAGACUGUUUAGAAUGUUGAAAUGUUGGGCAUAAUUUAUUGGUUAUCAUGAGUUUGUUCAAAACCACAUGAAUAAUUUGUUGUUUGUUGGAUGGGGAGGCUUUGUUUUGAAGGAAAAAUUGAAAGGCAUCAUAUCAUCUUUGAGAGUGACAUAAAAAUCAUAGUUGCAAUCUAGACAAGCAAUUGAGGUCUACAAAGGAGAAUGAAGAAUAUUAAUGUUUGAAUAUGAAAGGUGAAUCUGGUAGUUUAGAUGAGGUCGAGAUUAUGGACAAGCAUUUCUUAUCACUCAAUUAUUUUUCCUCUCUAGAUUAUAUUGUAGUAUUCAAUGGUAGAAAUCAAGGGUGAUGUAGUUGAAGGAGGCUAACGCUAACUCAAACUACUUUCAUGGUAUAAUUCUUCUAAGAGAAGACAAAAUUUCAUCUUGAGUAUUGAAGUUGGAAGUACUCAAGUGAACAUUGUGGAAGGAGUAAGGGGAUUUAUUUUUCAAUAUUUUAAAAAUCAUUUCCAAUCAACACUACUAGAAAAACAGGAUUUAGCGUCGGCCCAAAGCCGACGCUAACGUCCAUUUAGCGUUGGAUUAGCGUCGGAGUCGGGCCUAUGCUAAAACGGUCGAAGCUAAUUAUUAGCGGCGGACAAAGACCAUCUGACGCUAUCUUAGCGUCGGCAUCGCCGACGCUAUUGAUAAUUUGAAACAGCCGACGCUAAAAAUACCAGGUGCCACGUCAGCUGGGCAGAAAAUUGUUGCGUCGGAUGGCCGACGCUAGGGUCAACCAACAGUAGUCAACAAAAUUGGUUGCGUCGGACAGUCCGACGCUAAAGUCAAAUUUAAAGUCAAUUUAAUUUAUAAAGUAGCGUCGGUGGGGCCGACGCUAAGUUAAAAAUUUUUUACCGUCCUAUUUUUAAUUUUAUAGCCCCUGCUUUGCUGAAUUUCAUUUUUUUUUUUAAUAAUAUAAUUGAUUGCUAAUAAACAUUAAAAGUCAUUCAUUGACAUUAUAACAAACGCACAGAGUAUUAAAUAACAUAUCAAAAUAUCAUGUGUUCUGAAACUACAAAAUAAUAAAUAGUAUCGAAUAACAACUUUAAAAAAGUUACCUAAUACAUAAUUGUCAACCACUACAAAAAGUAAACAUAACUAUGACAUUAAGGUUCGUCAAGCGACACAUCGUCCAAAUUAUGAUCGUAAUGAGGAUGUGAAGGAGGAUGACUCGCAGUAGAUGAUCCACCAGUUGAUUGACGGGCCAAAGCGUCAAAUUUGUCUCCAAAAAAUUGCUUUAAUGCAUCAAAAUCAUUAUCUAACUUCUUUGAACGCUCCCUAGCCUCUUCGGCGACCUUGGUAGCCACUUGAGCCUGGGCCACUGCAUCCUGAACAAUUUGUUCAGCUCUAAUUCUAGCUGCCCUCUCCGCUUCUAAAGACGUCCCAGUCAUAGAAUUAGAAGGAUUCUGGGAAUGUUGUGUAAGCGAUACACACCCCUGUCGGACGUUAAUGGACAAGUCUCCCGUACCAUAAACUCGACCACGAGUGCGACCCCCUGCAGAUUCAGUCCAUAACUUAAGUAUUGUCCCUCCAUCUACCUCUUUACCACUUUCUUCACUUGUUUCGCCAAUCUGUGUUUGUACUUCCUCCAAUUUUUUUUUAAAUGAUCCCUGAAAAAUGGAAUAAAUUAAUAACGUAAUAUAUGAUCAAAUUUCUAAAAUAAAUUAAACAAACAAGUGUAUAAUAAAGGGAUUGCUCUUCUAGGUAUAAAUGACAUCAUAUUAUUUUUUGGUUGAUUUGUAAUAUAAAGAAUUUGCAUAAAGAAUUUACAUAAAUAAAGAACAUACAUAGGUAGAUUCUGCGCGACUAUCAACCCAAGCGCCAUUUUUUCUCUUGUGGGUUGUCAAAAAUAACUCAUCUGGAAGUAAAUCUCUUUGAAGGUUAUUGCUCUACAAAUAAAAUCAAGAUUAUUGGAUCACAACACAGAAUUAGAAAUCAUAACAUUAAAUUGUAUUAAUUUUAAGUAAAUGUAAAUUUAAUACAUACAAGCUCAAUCGCAACAUCAAUAUGAGCUUUGCGGCCUGAGGUGUGGACAGCCCCGCCUCUUGUUGAAGCUCGAUUGGUCUUAUUUUGGUUGGAGAUGUUCUUGAAUGAUGUACCUUCCCAAUAUGCUUGAAGACCAGUCCAAGCUUCCUCACCUAUCCAACUAGGUCGAGUCCCUUUUUUCCUCACCUUUGUAAGCAUAUCUGAUAGUCUUUUAGCGACCUUUUGUUCAAACAGAUGUUUCACAAUAUCAUUAUGACAAGGAUCCCACGAUACCUUCUCCUAGGAAUAACAAAAAGUAUAUAUGUAAUAACUACUAUCAACAAAAUAGAUUACACAAUUCUCCCUAUAUAUGCUAGAAAAAUGAAUUGAACAUAUAAUUAUAUUCAAAGGCUUACCGCAAACUUUUCAAACUAAUCUUGUCUAAUUAUGUCAGUGGUUGCACUCCAACCAUAGAUAGGCUCACGAAAUUGUUUUUGUAUGGCAUACCUAACGGCAUCUGCAACUGCAUUGCUAGGAGUGAGUCUGCAUUAAUGUAUUGAAGAAAUAAAGUAUUAAGUAAAUAAUAUGUGUCUAUACUUAUGCUUCUAAUAUUAAGAAAAUAAACAAUUUUUGUAACUUACCCUUUACCAUAAGGUCGUAUAAUGGUUUUUUCAUUAUCAUCUCUCACAAGCACGAUAGGAGGAAUGUUCCCUUGACCCACCUCCUUAUCAUCUUGGUUGUGGUCCCCAAUUUCCACCCUAUCCUCAUGACCAUCGGAAGUUUGUUCCACAUUCUUCUCUACCAAAGCCUCACGUGGGGAAUGUUGUGAAGAGGCACCCAUGGUAUGAAUACUUAAACCUGGAGUCGGCAUAAAGACAAAUACCUCAGGGGUUGAGGCAUGGAUGGGAGAUGGUGUCGAGUGGGAUGGUGGUGUUAUAGUAUCAGUAGGUGCUACAAUCUUAGUUGAUGUUGGAGGCUGAGACGGGGCUGGAGACGAACAAUGAAGUGGCCAAGUGGUAGACAAGUUGCGACGUAUGACAUCCCGCUGCUCAUUAAGUUUCAUUCAAUCUGUUGGGGAAACACAAUCUAUUGUGAUUCUAGAUUAGUAACAAAUAAUUAGUGAAACAAGAUAUUAUUAUACAAAAUAUUUAGAAACCAGACCUGCUACUGUCAUUCAUUCAUUAACCAAACCUGCUACUGAACGACGACUCUGAACGGCGACACUGAACGGCGACGACGACGGAGUUCGAGAGGGGGACAAUGACCGACUCUGAAAGUGAAGGUGACAGGUUCGCAAAUCACAUGUUGGGCGGCGAUACUCACUGCAUUUAGGGAUUCGGUGAUGGACUCAAUGUGAGAGAAGGGUUCAGUUCAAGUGUGAGGGAAGGGUUCAAGUGUGAGGGAAGGGUUCAAAGACUUAGGGAUUUAGAGAAGAAAUGAAACCUUAGAUAAAUCGUGCUUUCAGAGAGAAAAUCGUGUUUUUAGGGAAACCAACAUUUUAAUUUUACAAUAUGAUUUUAUAAAUAAUAUAAAAAAAAUUUAAAAUACAUUAGCGUCGGCCCAUCCGACGCUACCUAUUAAAAUAAAAAUUAUAAAAUUAAAUUAAAAAACUAGCGUCAGUCUUAUUUUACGUAGCGUCGGCCCUCCGACGCUAACCGUUAAUAAAAUUGAAAAUUGAAAUUUAGCGUGUUAGCGUCGGUCAGGCCGACGCUAAACCGACGCUAUCUAGCGUCGGAGUCGGGGGCCGACGCUAAAUAUGGCAGCUAAAAUACCAUUUUCUAGUAGUGCAAGUCGGGAGAGAAGGAUUCAAGUGGAGAAUUUUCAUAUUAAGUCCAUUAGUGUUGAAUAGGGUUAUCAGUUAACUAGAAUGUUUGAUGAAGAGGAAGUGAAGACACUUGUGUGGGAUUGUCAUAGCUUCAAAAGUCCAGGUUUUGAUGGUGUCAACUUUGAUUUCUUGAAAGAAUUUUGGGAUGAUGUAAGUACGAUUUCAUGAAGUUUUUGCAAGAAUUCCAUAUGAAUAGUAAGUUGGUGAAAUGGUCCAAUUGUACUGUUAUCAUUUUUAUUCCAAAGAACAAAAAUUCUCAACAACUUAAUGACUUUUUCCCUAUAUCUCUUGUAGGUUGUAUGUAUAAAGUUUUAGCUAAAGUUUUAUCAGUAUGCCUUUGUCAUGGGUAGGUAGAUUUUAGAUGGUAUCUUGUAGGCUAAUGAAGUUUGUGGAUGAAGCGUGAAAGAGGAAAAGGGAGUUAAUAUUGCUCAAAAUUAAUGUUGAGAAGGCUUAUGAUUUAAUGGAGUGAGAUUAUUAAGAUAUAAUGUUGACAUCUAUGAAUUUUCCAGUUACAUUAAGGCGUUGGAUAUUAGAGUGUAUGAGCUUAGCUUAGGUGUUGGUUUUGGUCAACGUGUGGCCUACAGAGUAGUUCCCUUUGAAGCAAGGCCUUAGGCAGGGGGUCCGCUUUCUCCUUUUCUUUUAAUGUUGGCUGCUAAAGGACUAACUUACAUGUUGAGUUCUUUAGUAGAAUUUGGAUUGUUCUCUAGUUAUAAUGUAGGUGACGACUCAUAUUUUUGAGUCUCCCAUUUGCAGUUUGCGGAUAAUACAAUUAUCAUGGGUGAGAAGAAAUGGUCUAAUAUAAGAGCUAUUAAGGACAACUUACUGCUUUUUGAAUUGGUUUCAGGUCUGAAAGUUAAUUUUCACAAAAGUAUUUUGGUUGGUGUGAAUGUUAAGGAAUCAUGGCUUGCAGAGGCAGCCAAGUUAUAGAAAUGCAAAGUUGGGGUGGUUCCAUUUAAAUACCUUGGAUUACCUAUUGAUGACAAUUUGAGGAAUCUAUCCUUUUGGAAUCUUGUGAUUGAAAAAAUUUGAAUAAGGUUAUUGGAUGGAGGAACCACAAUAUAUCUAUAGGUGGUCGCCUUGUUGUCAUUAAAGUUUUCAUAUUUGUAUUGUCGUUUUAUUUUCUUUCUUUUAUCAAGGCUCUUUCAAAUACUAUUUCUAACAUUGAAUCUCUUUUUAAAUAUAUUUUAUGGGGGUAGUAAGGAGGCCCGCAAGGUUCAAUGUAUCAAGUGAGAUUGAAUUUGUUGUAAGCGCGAGCAAGAUGGACUUGGUGUGCAUAAUAUGUGUGUGUUCAAUAUAGCGCUUUUGGUUAAAUGGUGUUGGAGGCUCAAAACGGAUACAGGUGGAUUGUGGUUUAAGGUUCUUUCUUGUAAGUAUGGUUAUUUGAAUGGGGGGUAGUGGUUGGUGGUACUUCUCAAGAUUUGUCGCGGUGGAAGGAUAUCAGAUGUCUAGAGGUUUGAGGUGGGGGUAAUCUGGAACAAUGGUUCUCGAACAACUUAGUAAGAAGAGUAGAUAAUGGUAGGAAUACUUUAUUUUGGUAUAUGAUCCAUGGCUUGGAGGUGGGUCGUUGCAUAAUAGGUUUAGUAGUUGUUUGGACUAGUGCAUUAUAAAUUUAUAAGAGCGGUGAAUAUAUUUAGAUUGGGGUGAGAAUUUGGGCGAGAUGGAUUGGGUGACAUCGUAGUUUGUUAUAGUGGGAAAGGGGAUUGGUGGAAAAGUUUACUUCAUUAUUUGUUAAUGUUCAUUUACAAGAUCCAGUUAAGGAUUCGUGACAAUCGAAAAAUAAUACUUGCAGGAGUGUACUCUGUGAAAGAUGUUUUUCUUGUUACAGGAAUUAACCUAAUCAAAUGACAUGCAUAAUGUAGAUUGUAUUGUAUAGAUUGCAUAAUGUAGAUUGAUACGUGUAUGUAUAUGGACUAAAAUUUACUUUAUCAAUUUUUUUAAUUAUUAAAUUUAUAUUUUUUUAUUAAGCUCAAUUUUUAAGAUUAUAACAGAGUCUCCAACAUCUUUAAGAAGAACCUAGAUCAAAUACAUAAAUUUUUGUUAACCAAAUUAUAAUCCAAAAGUCUAUUAUAAAAUAAUCGAAUGGAAUAAUUUAUAAAAAAAUUAUUAAAACAACUAAUAUAAUUAUAAAAUAAAAUAAAUUCUCCAACCUAAAUUCCAAUUAAUUUUUAAUUAUUAAAAAUUUAAACUAAAAUUUAAUUUACUAUCUCUCUCCAAUUUAUUUUUGUAAAUUUACAAUUUAAAAUUCUUAUAUACAAAAUAAUAUUAUUUUUUAUUUAUCUAUUAAAAUUUUAAAAUUUCUACCACAAUAAUAUUUUAGUUCAAAAUCCGCGUUGGCUCUAGUCACGCAAAAAAUUCUCCAAUAUUCAUUCUUACUAUAGAAUAUAGAUACUAACACAUACAUAAUCCCAAAACAUAUUGCAUCAUUUAGCAUAGUAGAAGCCUCUCUUUCGAAGUAAUAAGAAUGAGCUUGGCCCAACUAAAUUCUGGUGUAUUUGAAACACAAUUUUUUGUCCUUGAUAUGCAAUGGACUUGCAGUGGCAGGGUGUAAUUAUCAAUUUGUAUACUCAUUAAUCAAUACAUAGACCUCUUCACACUUUUCUCUGUUUAAAUAAUUUGAGCAUUAUACUUGUGGGUGAAUUAGAAAUUGAUAAAUGGGGUGAAAGUGUAAAAAGUAAGGGGGUGUUUUAAUUUUUUUUUUGUCUGUAGGGUUUUUAAUUGUAAUAUUAUUGUGAGAUUUUUAUUUAAAUAAUUUAUUUUUGAAAAAAACACCAAUUUAUUUAACUUUUAAAUAUAAGUAUCAAUAUACCCUACUUUUGACACUAGUAAGAAGUCGUGUUUUGAAAAGGAGACUUUGUAAAAAUUCUCAACAUUUCAAAUGACGACUUUAUACUACAUUAUGAUUUUUUUUUACCAACUUUUUAUUUUAGUUUUAUUUGAUUAAGAAAACCUAUAAUAUUAAUUAAUAAUAAAAUUAAUUCAUUAAAAUUACUAUAAUUAUGAAAAAGCAAAAAAUUAUAAAGAUUGAAUAUAGUUACCAAUACUUAGAUGAUAUUUUUGAAUAUGAUCAGUAAUCCAACUUACUAGUAGUUAAUAGGUUUUUAACAAUUUAUCUUUUAUGCAGAAUAUAAUAUAUAAUAUACAAUUAUUUAACAUUACGAAAAAAGUAUUAUUAGGAAGAAAAUUAGAAACCAGUAAAUAAUAUAUAAAUGCAAUAUAUCAUACUAAUAAAAAAUAAAUAAAUUAUAAAAUGUAUGUAUGUGGUUUGAUUUAGUUUUGAAAUAUUAAUCUGAAAUCUAAUUCAAUUUGUGUGGUUUUUAAAAAUAACAUUAAAAAAUAUCCAAUAAUAUUUGGUAUUGUGUGAUUUUUGGUUUUUUUUUUUUUUAUUAUAUCAAUUUGCUUUGAAUUGGUUUAGAUAUAAACACUUCUAUCUACAACAAAUAAUUUUUAGCUAUGCUUAUAUUGUGCCCUAUGUGAAGAUAGCAUAAUGUAUCACAAUUCUGAAAUGCAGAGACUUAAAAAAAGUCGUCAAAACAUUGUCUAAAUAUUAAUAUCAUUAUAUUUUAGAAAUUAAAAUGUAAUGAUAUUAGAAUAUAAAAUUUUACUAAAAUUGAAAUAUAAAUACAAUAUUUUGACAUUUUAUAAAAAAUAAAACGUGGCAUACUGUAUUUUUUACGGUAUUUGUGUCACGACAAAGUCGUAUUUGAAAAGCUCAUUUCCUUUAUAACGCCGUGCUUUCCAAAAUCGGACCUUCUAUUAGUGCCAAAAGUGGGGUACAAUGGUAUUUAAUUUGAAAGUGGGAUAAAUUAUUUUUUUUUUCUUUUCAAAAAUGGGUUAUAAUUACAAAAAAAUAACCGAUUAUUGCUUUAUGUAUGAAUUUAAAAAGAAUAGGUAUUAUUAUUGGUUCAAUCUUGGUCAGACUUUUGAAUCUUUAUUGAGUACAUACGCCAGUUUAUUGUCCAGCCCGAUUUUGAUUACCCUAAAAAUAUAUGUCGAAAAAUAUAUUAAAUAAUGGAAAAAUUUCCCUUGUACCCUCCUUAUUAUACCUAUACCCCAAAAUUUAGAAUGAAAUGACUAUUUUGCCCUCGUAUAAAUAAUAAAACCUCAAAAAAUUACCAUUCCACACUUUCACAUUUCCAGAACAGAGAGUAAGUUUUUUUUCAAAAUUUCCGGAGAAGUUGAGAAACAAGUUUUCCGGUACAGAGCUUGUAUUCCGGAAACGUUGUUUUAAAGUUUUCCGGUACCGGAAAUCUUGUAGGAAGUUUUUCAGUACAGAAGAGUGUUCCGGAAAACUUAUUUUUAACAUAUCCGGUACAGAAAGCGUUCCGGAAAACUUGAUUGCCAACAUUUCCGGUAGUUACCGGAGAACUUGAGCAUCAAGUUUUCCGGAAGUUAUGUAUAUAUAUUUUUUUUAAUUUAAUUAAUUAUAAUUUUAUAACUUAUUGUGAUUUAAUUCUUUUAAUAUUUUAAUUUUUCAGUGGGUGCACGAGGAAGAGACGGCAAAAUCAUAUGAAUUACACGGGACACUGAGACUUCUACAUCGACUCCGAUGAAUCCCCCAGAGAGGAUUCGACCGACAGCUUCAAGGAGAAGAAGACGUAUGAUUAUUGAAGAUGAUGAUGAGGGACAUAAUGAUCAGGGGGAGCCUUCUACAGUGCAUGAGGAAGAUGUGGUACAUGAGCAUAUGGUGCACGAGCAGGUGGAUGUACAUGAGCAGGAGGAGGCUGCACCUGCUCAUGAGGGAGAGCAUAUGGAGGAGGAACAUGAUGGAGCUGAGGGACCUGGUGAGCUCACACGGUAUCCUGGAGGACCUUAUGAUUUGUAUGUCCUUACACGAUACCGUUAUCAUGUUUCAGCUAGACUAUGGUUUGGCGAGGUAUAUUAAAUUAAUUAUUACGUAUUUAAAUUAAUUAUUAUUUGUUGUCUAAAUUUAAUUUUAAUGUCAUAUAUUUUUUUUUGUAUACAGGAGCGACCAUUGCUGAAAAUUGUUGCGCAUGGGAAGAAAAUGCAACAAUUUACUCCGCCGGUACUUCCGCGACCCAUAGAGAAUUGGGUGAAUUUGUCUGGUCUGAACCCAUUACAACGGGGUAGUUUGAAGAUGAUCGACAACAACUUGAUAUCUGCCUUUGUUGAAAGAUGGCAUUCUGAGACAUCGUCAUUUCACAUGCCAUUUGGUGAAAUGACGAUUACUUUGGAUGAUGUUGCCAAUCUUCUCGGAUUGCCUAUUAGGGGUGAGUUCUACAGUCCACCCGAUGUAGAUAGAGUAACAGCAUGUAAUCUUGCCGUCCAUCUAUUAGGAGUGACCACGGAAGAGAUCUGGGAGGAGACCAGAAAGACUAGAGGUGCACACUAUAGAUUGGAUUGGUUGAAGGAGGUGUUCAGAAGGCAGUGUGCAGCAGAGAGGUUUGACUGUGCUGCUAGGGCAUAUCUGUUGAAUUUAGUCGGGAGUACUAUUUUCGCUGAUAAGAGUCAUACUCUAGUUGAUGCGAAGUACCUCCCUUUAUUCAGAUAUUUAGAUGGUAUAGAUAGAUAUGCAUGGGGUACUGCUGCACUAGUGGUGCUUUAUGACUACCUCUCAGAUGCCUGCUAUUAUGACACCAAACAGCUAGGUGGAUACAUGACGUUGCUUCAGGUAUCAAUUAUAUUUUAGUAUUAAUUGUUAAUUAUUUAUUUAAUUUAUUUAUGUUGUAUUUAAUUGUUAGUAUUAAUUAUUUAAUAUUUUUAUUUGUAACAGUGCUGGAUUUACGAAUAUUUUCCGAAUAUUUGUAAUAGAGGUGAUCAGGGUGCUGACGUGGAAUGUUUUGCCCGAAUGAAUAGAUGGUGCUAUAAGCAAGGCAAGCAUAAGGUCCACGAAUACAGAAGUAUUAUUGAUGCAUUGACACCUGCAGAUGUUAUAUGGAGACCAUGGGAGAAUCACAGGGGUGUCAUUCCUUUUGAUGAUAUCACACUUUAUACUGGUCACAUUCGAUUAUGCAGCACUGUAGCGAAAUAUCUACCAGAGAGGUGUUUGAGACAAUUCGGAUAUAUCCAGUAUAUUCCUUCACCGCCACUUCCAGAUCCUGCUAGAUUAUUUGAUGUAGAUGUGGAAUGGUUGGGAUAUGUGACGCCAGUGACAGAGCUAUUUCCCAAGCUUCGUCCAGCUACAUAUCCAUCUGAGUGUGAAGAUGGAUAUUUGGAGUGGUUCUAUCAGGUGUCUCAUCCACUGCUGGUGCGACCAGAUGGUGUACCUCAGGUCCCACGUUAUAGUGUACCGCCCACCAGUGCAGAUGCUUCUAGUUCACAGCCGCCACCUAUCCUACAGCAGAUCGGUGAUCUUAUACAGCAGGGGUUGAGUGAACAUCAAGCUAGUCCAGAUGAUGAGUUGUAUAGGCACUUUUAUAAAGCUUUGUAUUUAUCACGUAGUCGCACUAGUUAGUAGUAACACUUUUGUAACUGUUGUUAUGUAGGUUAUUUUAUGAACACUUUUGAUGAACUAUUAUUAUGUCGGUUAUUUUAUGAACACUUUAUGUUAGUUAUUUUAUUAAUUAUUGUAAUGUCGGUUACUUUAUUAAUUAUUGUUAUGUUAGACUCACCCGUCUCUGAAUAGUUAUUUUAUUAAUUAUUGUAAUGUCGGUUACUUUAUUAAUAUAUGCACAGAAUCUAGAGGAAUUGGUUCACCCAUUAAUUUAUAUUGUCCCAAUUCACAAGCACAAGGUAAUCCGUAUGUCCUUCUCAGAGAACACCCACAUAUAGAUUUGUCAGUACCCACCCACUCAACUUUGUCGUAUUCUUCAGCAAUACGUCUUUGAGCUUCUGUUGAUACAAAUGUAUUCAAUCUCUGAUAAAAUGGAUUUCUGUGCUCAUGCUCUUCAUCAUAAAAACUUUUUUGAAACGAGGCUCUGAUUCUUUUAUGUUGUAACCUUAUCAUGUUGUUCAUAGCCUCCCAACAUUUACACAAAUCACUCAUGCUAUUUUCUAACAUUAACUUCAGUUUCCAGUGAGCCGACUCAACCCUGUAAAAUUCAACAAUAUAUAAUAAAAUUAUAUUAAAUACCUGUUAGUCGUUGUGUUCCCCAAAUGCAUCACUUUAUUUGUCCAUGCUUCAACAAAUCUUUCCUUAUGUGGAGUCAACCAAGUUUCUUUGACAUAAUCAACAAACACUUUAGUAUCAACACAUGAUUGUUCAAACAUAUGCAAGCGCAUCAUAUACUCUUUUUCAUUACUACAAUACAUAAUGUCUUUCCACAUAUUCAAUAUUGACUCUUGUCUAUCCUUUAAGACAUAUUGCUUGCAUUUUGCUCCAACAUUUUUUUCGAUAUGAAAUCGACAAAGUAAAUUAACAGCAUGUGGAAACACAAUGCCAACUGCAUUCAUUAACGCAAGAUCUCUGUCUGUCACAAUUACUUGAGGGAAUUUAUUUUGUGUAACAAACAAAUCUUUUAGUCUCUCUAAUGCCCAACAAAAGUUUUCUUCCCUCUCACAUUCCAAAUAAGCAAACCCAACUACAAAUGUUUUCUCUGUUGAUGUCAUACCAACAAUUUCAAGUAAUGGCAUUCUGUAUUUAUUGGUUUUGUAGGUACUGUCCAUAAUCAACACAAUCGGAAACAAAUUCAACAACUUCACUGAAUCUGGAUGCGCCCAAAAAAUAUCUCUCAUAACAUCGGAGUCUUCACGCUUUCUAUUCCAGCACACAUAUUUUGCAUCUUCAAUUAACUUGAAUAAAUGUUGCAUCUCUGUUCUAUUACCUCUCACGCGCAAUCGAAUGAUACUUCUCUGUUUAUAUAUUUGUGAGAUCUUAGUAACAUUACUCUUAUCUCGGUCUUGCAAUGAGAGUAAUAUGUGUCUCGGUGCAACAUUAUAUUUUGUUAAUUCAUGAACAUGCUUUCUAUCUUCUUCAUUUAAGCGCCCAACAUAUGCAUGCCCCUCCAAAGUAUCAGGUAAUUCAUGGUUGUGAAUUCCACAAAUUACUUUAACUAUCCAUCCUGAACCAUCUUUUAAUGGUUUUGAUCUAAGCUUGAAAGGACAAUCACAUUUUUUUGUUGAACUUCGAAUAGAACUAGCAGCACACUUGUAUUUUCCCCCUUUGUCACAACCUAAUAUUAAUUUAUUUCUCCGUCCUUUCUCACCCGUCUCUAUAUCUGAUCUUCUGAUAAUAACGGUAACUUUAUUUUUUAUACCAAUUUCUUUUGCCCAUUUCACAACAGUAUCCCUUGAAUCAAAUAUCUGAAAUAAAAUAAUUAUAAUUAAUCACAAAAAUAUAUUUUUAUAAUAUUAAUAUUAAAUAUAUUUAUUCAUACCUGAUCUGUGUCAAAAAUAUUUGUAGUAUCGACGCAUGUUUUGUCCAUUAAUAGUAGUGGAUUAUCCAUAUCUGUUAACAUUUAAAAAAAAUUAAAAAAAAUUAAAAAACUUAAAAAAAAAUUAAAAAAAUAUGGUCUGUACCGGAAAACUCAAAAAUGAAGUUUUCCGGAACCUAAUAUUGUACCGGAAUACUUGCCAACCAAGAUUUCCGGUACACAAAUUUUCCCUUCUGUACCGAAAAAGUCAGUUUUAACAUUUCCGGUACUAUACUCUGUACCGGAAAACUCAGUUUUAACAUUUCCGGUACUUUACUCUGUACCGGAAAUCUUGUUUCAAGUAUUCCGGUAGUUACCGGAAAACUGCCACUUACCGGAAAUCUGUUUUACGGCUGGGUUUGUGACAAAAUGGUGAAAAAAAUAUUUACAUUUCCGGUAUAAUAGUCAUUUACAAAAUGGUGAAAAAAAUUGAGGGUAGUUUUGCCAUUUUCGAAUUUUUUUGGGGGUACAAGGCAAAGUGUGGGGGUACAAGGGAAAUUUUUCUAAAUAAUGUAUUGCUAUCUUUUUUCAAUAAGUGAUUGUAAAUUUUCUUAUAAACUAUUUAAAAACCAACAGUGAGAUGAUCUUUAAAGAAUUAGUAUUAUAUGUUUCUCCUAAAAGAAUUUGAGUCAUAUUCUUGGAGUCGUUAAUUUAUUUGAGAGACAAUUCAACUCCAAAUUUAUAGAAACAAUGAAUUUGUUUGAUAAGACAAAAAAGCAAGUUUAUAGCUUAUAGGUUAUAAGAUAUGUUUGGUAAUAGUCAUUUAUGAGCUCAUAUCUUUUUUUUUUUGUUAAACUAAUUUAAGAUUUUAAGUAGGUUAUGAGUAUAUAGUUUAUCAUUUUUUAUAUCAAUUUUACCUUUAUUCAUUACGCCAAAAAUAAUAUUUUACAGCGCUUUUAAGCGUUGUAGUAUCUAGUGCUGUUAAAAGAUACAACAAUGUUAUUUAAAAUAAACAAGCACUGUAAUAGGUAUAAAUAUAUUGCACUCAGCGCUUCUUUUAGACUCGUUUUAUAGCGCUUUUCUUAAUAAAUAAAAAACAUUGUAAUAGGUGUGCAUUUCUUAUACUAGUUUUAUAACGCUUUUAUUAAAAAAAUGUUGUAAUAGGUGCAUAUAUAGCGUGCAUCUCAUACUAGUUUUACAGCUCUUUAAUUAAAAAAGCGUUGUAAUAGGUGCGUUCUUAUACUUGUUUUAUAGCGCUUUUUUCGAAAAAGUGCAGUAAUAGGUACAUUUUAAAAAGCGCUGUAAAUCUAUUCUACAAAGCAAUGUAAAAUACUUCUCUUAGACUAGUUUUACAGCGCUUUUUUUAAAAAAACACUGUAAUAGGUGCAUUUUUAUACUAAUUUUACAACGCUUUUUUUUUAAAAAAAAAACAAUGUAAAAUAUUAGUUUAUAUAAAUAGGUCUUUAAUGACAUUUUUUUUAACAAAGCGCUGUCUUUAGAUGCAUCCAUACAAUUUUUUUCCAAAAUCAUAUUCAUCAAGCAUAUAUUGACACAAUUGUAAUUUUUUAAUUCAAACAUAUUCACAAUAUGUAUUCACAACAACAAGUUCAAUUACAUCAAUAUUAUUAUCAACAUCAAUAGCAACAUAUUUACAAUAUCAAUUACAAAUUCACAUCAACAAUAUCAUACCAGUAAUUAGAAUACUGGUCAACAAUUUCAAUAAUUUUCAGCAUGCCAAUUUUCCAACAAUUUGCAACAUGCCAAUUUCCAACAAUUUACAGCAUGCCAAUUUCCCAACAAUUUCUUACUUUACCCUACUGUUAACAAAAAAUAAAAUAAGCUAAUUAGAAUAAUGAUUAGUUCACACAAAAAUAUACAAUAUAUGAUAGUUUACAAUGUGAAACUCACCUAUUAAUAAAUUAUAUAACUUUUAGUUCAAUCACAUACUAACACGAGUCUUCCUUUAUUUCAGUUAGAUCACUUUCAAAGUAUGUUGAAUUGGAGUUGUCAAAGUACUAUGCGAUAUAAUAUUUGAACAUGAAUAAGUUAGACUCAAAUAUAUAUAUAUAUAUAUAUAUAUAUAUAUAUAUAUAUAUAUAUAUAAAAAUAAAAAUAUAAUAAAAAUAAAGUACCGUUUCUGGAAUUAUAUUUUGAUUCAUAUCAACAAUCUCCUUCAUAAAUCGCAAUAUAUAGUAUCCGGAGUUUAUGUUGUUAGUUUGGCGAGGACACUAUAAAACAAAACAUGUACGCCAAUGAAUAUUUAUGCAUUAAUUGUAAUUGAAAUUUUAAAGACAUAAUUAAGUUCUAUAACAAAAAUUUCAAACCUUUAUUGGAAUCCAUGUGAUGUUGUUUGACUUAUGCUUCGAUACUGUAGCACCCUUUGAGUGUGGAAAACUUGUAAAGCACUAUCAAAUAAAUGUAAUUAUUAUUCAUUUAUCAAACACAUUAUUUAUAUAUGUAAGAAAUAAAUGAAUAUUACUUACAUAUCAAAGAUAUUCUUUAUAUUCGAGUGAUUGUUAUAAUGAUCGUGCAGUGGAGCUAAAUAGUACAUAAUUUAUGGCAAACAAUACCCAAUGUUGCCAAGAACAACAAAAAUUUGGUUGACAAAUUUGUUUACACAACUGAUAAAGUAUCAUAAAUUAAAAAAGAUACAUAUAAAUAAUAUCUAAUUAUCCUGAAUUAUAUGGUGCAAGAAACAACUUAUCCUUCUCUUUAUUUUCUAAAAAUAUAUUGACAACAUAUUUUUUUACGUUAACUAGAUCAAUUUUAAACAUGGAUAGCUUAUGAGGAGAUAAGAAUGAAAAUCUAUCUCUUAAUUUGCGCAUGCACACCAAUGUUUCAUACAAAUAUCUUCAAUGAAAAUAUCAAAUUAGAUUAAUUACCAAUAAAUGUGGCAGUGAUGCAAUUAAAAUUAAUUUUUAUCUUAAAUAAAGUAUUUUACAUUACCUAAUGUAUAUGCUAAUAACAGUAGUACUCAGCUCCUUAUGAUUGAGAAGUUCAUAUAUGUGCUCUUUAUCAAGUAAUUCUUCAUACUCAUCUCUGAAAAAUACCUUUCUCCAAGUGUAUGAUACGUGAAUCAUUGAUGUCCAUAUUCAUUUUUGCUUGUAUGUCAAGACACGACUCAAAUCGAGAAAGGCGUGAAUAACUUAUUUUAGGAGUAACAAUUGAUUUUCCACGAUCCAGUUUUUGAAUUUUGGUAGAUUUAUUUUUAUCACGAACCUGCAUUUGCGGUGUGGCGAAUUUCUGGAAGAUGUACGGUGCAGUGGGUUUAUUUUUUGAAUCAACUUUCUUAACAUUUUUGGUAGGUUUUGCUUGAAUCUGAAAAGUGAGGUUGAUUAGUUUGUUAGUUAUUAUAAUAAGCUAAUUAUUUCGUAUACAAUUGAUGUAUAUGUCAAACUUUUUCUGGUGAAGUGACUGACUUGUUUUGAGGAAUCUUCUUAUUAUUCCCUUUAGACUUUGUAAGAAUCUAAAUAAAUAUGAAAUUAAAAUUAACAGCAGAAAAAUCAGCAAUUAAACAUAAUCAAUCAUAAUCAUACCAUUAAACAUACAUAACAAUUAAGCAUAUUGUAUAUAUGCAACAAGAUUUUUGGGCCAUGCUACGUAACUACUUAUUGCUUCUCCUAAAAACUUCAUAUCUCCAUCGUUGUUGGGUAUAGGCAAUGGUGCAAGUGGUUCAAAAACAAUCAUAGGUGAAACUUUAACAUGGCCGAUAGAGAUCAGAUUAUGGUGUAAUACUUGUCCCAAUGUAUUGUACAAUGUUCCUUUUCUAACUAAGCGAUGAGCAGGGGAAGAUAAAUAUAACACGCAAGAUGAGACACCCUAAAUCAAUGGUUAAUACAUAAGUAUGUGAAACAAUUAGGCUGAAUGAAUUUCUUAUAUCAUUAAGUAAUUAAUUACCUCUAGAAGACUUUUACGACCAAUGUUGCAACUACCAUUUUCACCCUCUAGUUGUAUUUCACGUUGACACUCCGUAAGUUGUUUUUCCUUACUCUUUUUCACCAAAAAUGCAACUUGCUAUGUUAGGAUUUUCAGCUUAUCUAGUACUUCCUCAUUAGAUGGAUUUGUACGCUUCUCAUGUGAAAAAUAGCCUUUUGAAGUUACGUCAAAUCUUUUACCCCUCACACGUCCAAAAUAUUCAAGAACUUUAAAUAUCUUACCAAGUAUGUCCCUACAACUAACUUGUUUAUUCUCCUCUGGAUUUUCAGAACAUUGUUCUAGAUUCUCCUAAAAUACAUGUAGUAUUAACAAGUUAAGUUCAAUAUCAUUUUUAAAAGACAAUAUUAAAAAAUAUUCAAGUAAUAAUAUACUUACACAUUAUACUAUCACUUUAUUGAACAUUUUCAUUAUUAACUAUUCCAUCCUUAUUUCAUUAUUAGCUAUUUUUUGUAUGGAUGCAUUGGAUUAUUUGCUCUCUCGCAAUUCACUGUGCUUAUACUCUAUACAAGAAAAUUAUGAUCGUGUAAAAAAAUAUGAUAUAAAUAAGAAUAAAAAACACAUGCUAAUAAAUUAAUAUUACCACAAAAGUGGGGUCUGCAUGUUUAGCUACAAAAGCGCUCCACUCUUCAUUUGAUAUGUAGUGUUUGUAUAUUUUUGGAGCUUCAACAUUCAAAUUUCCAUCACAAUCUCUUAAGUAGCAAUUUGACAAAUGAGAUCUAAAUCCUCUGUGUAUUUUUCCGGCAACUCUAAGCACAUCACACCUCAUCAACGUUAAAAGUCGACUGCAAGCCAAAUAAAGAUAGAGUUUGAGUAAAAGUAUUUCAAUGGAAAAAAUUCUAACUAACAAAAAAGUGGAGUAAAAAAGUUACUUGUAUAUUAUUCCACAAAUAUAUCUUUAGCAUCCUUCAAAGCUUUAUCUCUCCAACCAUUAAUUGUUAUUGGGAUAUUUUGAUGAACAACUGCACCAAUGUAACUUACCAUCAUUGAACUAUUUGGCUCAAUUGGCUGUCCACUUUGAUUCCACCCUACCUAAUAAACUCAUAGAGUAAGUGCAUGCUUUCAAAAAAGAUGAAAAAUAAAUUCUAAACAAAGUAUAGUAUACCUCAAAUUUAAUUCAAUUACUUCUUCCUUUUACGAAGCCUAUGGACAAAAAGCACUGUAAAUGAUUUUUAAUUUAAUUUUUAAAAGCCUUUUACAACGCUUAUGGACAAAAAGCGGUGUAAAUGAUUUGUAAUUUAAUUUUUACAAGCCUUUUACAGCGCUUAUGGACCAAAAGCGCUGUAAAAUUACAAGUUUAUGUUUAGUUUAUGUAAAAUACCUAUAUUUGAUUUUUUUUUCCAAAUAAUGAGUUAAAUACCUAUAUAUCAAUGCUAAAUUACAUGAUUAGUUCAGAUUGGGAUCAAUUCAAGUUCAAGGAAAAUGCCCAGCCAAACAUAGCUUUUUCAAGUUCAGUAUAAGUAAAAAAUCAAUAUAAGUAGAAAACCAAAUAUAGUUUAAGCUAAAUGUUAAAUGCUCAGUUCUGGCAUGUCAAAUAGAUUGCUAAGUAUAAAUUACAUGAAAUUUCUGGCAGUUCAAAUUACAUGAACUAAGUAUAAAUUACAUGAUGAGUUCAAUUUACAUGGCUUAUAUAAAACAUUUAAACACCUUAAGAUGCCCUUCUUCCUUAGUCUGGUGGGAUUCACAUUUGUUUGUCCCUUAACGAUACGAAACAAUUGAUUAAUCCAAAAUCCCUCAUCAUGAUCAUCUCUAAGAUAUAAACCAUCAUCAGUUAAAUCAAAUUCACGUUGUUGUGAUGUUUCAAAGAAAAAAUCAUUACCAACAUCUUUAUCGUUAUUGUUAUCAUCACUUAUAUUGGUCAAUAGGUCUAUGACCAUUUAUCAUCAGCAUGAUAAGUGACAUAAAACACUUUUUGAGCUUGUGACGCUAAAAUAAAAGGUUCAUCUUUGUAUCCCACCCUAUUAAAAUCGACAAGCAAGAACCUUGACUCAUCAAUCCGAACGUCAUUAUUAUUGUCGCAGCCUAAAAUUUCGGGUUUUCAUCGAAUUCAAUGGAGUCGCCACCAAAAUUUAUUUUAAAAUAGGAAAAAUAUUGAAAAACCCUUAAAAAUGUAAAAAUGGUAUUUGAAACCAUAUUUUGAGUUCGGGAGUCAAUUAUGCGUGGGGAAGAUAUUAGCACCCGACGACACCCGUUAAAAUACGAUUACCUUUAAUUAAUUGUGCAAAAUUAUAUCAACUUAAAUAUAUUUAUUUUUCUUUAUUAUUAAAUAUGAAUAUAAAUUGAUUUUUAUAAAUGUGAUUUUUGAGAUAAAAGUGUGUUAAAAAAGAGUGGAAAAAAGAAAGUUUUUAUUAGUGUGCUUGACAAGAGUGUGAUCUUGCUCCUACGUAUCUCCUGGUGCGAUGGAGAAAUCAAAGCUACGUAGUUCUUGGUAGAAAAUGUGAAUGCGUUGAUUGCUUUUAAAUAAAUUGUAUUUUGUUACUUAAAAAAGUUAAUCUUGACGAACAUAUUAAAAAAAAAAAAACUUGUUUGAUUUGAAUAAUUAUUUUAAGAUAUGAGUUUUAAAACGAUCGAGUUGUACAACUCGUGUCUCAAAACUCAAGGAGUAAAAAGAUGUCAAUCUAAUUUAGCCCUCGUUAGAAUAUUUUAUUAUGUUUAUUAUAAAAUAGAGUUUCAAGAAGACCUAGUAGUACGACUUGUGUCUUAACAAUUCGAAGAUUAAAAAACACAUCUAAUUAAAUUUUAAAAAGUUGAUUUUUAAUCUAUUCAUUUAUAAAAAUAAAUUUUAAAGCUAUCAAAAUAUAUAAUUUGUAUUAUGCAACUCAGGGAUUAAAAUGUCAUUUUUAAUUUAUUUGUGAAUAUGAUAUUUAGAACCAUCAAAUUGUCACAAUUUGUGUUCUAAAAACUCAAAGGUUAAAAGAUGUCACAUCUAGUUAAUUUUUAAUGAAAUAUUUGUUAUUAUUUUAUUUUUUUUUUUUAAAUAAUACUAAAUAUUAAACAAGUUAUUUUUUCAAAAUAAAAUUAGUAAUAAACACGAGAAAAAAUAGCAAAAAGAAAAAUAUAUAGACUUUAACUUAAUCUAAAAAAUAUUUUGAAACUAAUUACAAAUGUAAUCCUCUUUUAAACUAUUUUUUUUUAAUUUAAUAAGUGAAGACAUAAAAAUUAUUUUAAUAUUAAAUAGCACCACCCAAAAAAGAAAAAUCUAUUAUAAUAUGAAAUAAAUUAUAUUUAUCGCUAUUUAAUUAUAUCCAUAAUUACUUAUAUUGAUUAGAAUUAUUAUAAUUAAAUGAAAUAAAUAUCAUGAAGAUUUGGAAGAGGAAGAAAAAGUCCAUCGAUCACACACAACUAUUACUAAAUAAAUCUAUAUUUAAUAGGACUAUUAUUAUUAUUAUUAUUAUUAUUAUUAUUAUUAUUAUUAUUAUUAUUAUUAUUAUUAUUAUUAUUAUUAUUAAUAUUAUUAUUAUUAAAUGUAAUACAACUAAAUAGUCAAUGUUAUAUAGCUUUGAACAAAAGAGCAAAGGAUGAGAAAAUACCAUUUUUGUCUGUUGUUGUUAGAACUGGCUUGAAGGCUAUGGUUGAUGGGAAGCAAUUUGAUAGUAGAUCUUCCUUUAUUUUUUGUGUAACACUCCCUCUUUCUAUUGUUUUUUUAGAAACAGAAAAAGCAAGAAAUGAAAAUCUCCCAAUUUUUAUCUUGCGAUUGUUUUUCUGAUCUCCCCUGUCAAUAUAUAGGCUAAAACGAGGAAGGGUUGCGUUCAUCAUAUAAAUAUAUAAAUUAAUUUCUGGAUUUUAUAUUGGUUUGGCAACUACAUCAACCAAACUGAUACAAUUAAGAGAAGGAGGAGCUGGUCUUUUUUAUUAGUAUUCAAGAUGAUAAAAUUAAUACCAUUAUUAGAUUGAAAAAUAAUAAAAUUAAAAUAAAUUAGAUUGAAAAAUAAUAAAAUUAAAAUAAAUAAACAGAUAUAGUGUGGAGAAAGGAUGUGAGGAAGCCGGAAACAUGGUUGGCUGCACACGACACACCUCACACACCCAUCAAAACAUGGAAAAGUAGAGCGGAACUUCCUUUUGUAUCUGUUUUGUUUUGUUUAUUUUUAUUUUUAUUUUUAAUGUUAAAUGUAUUACAAUUUUUACAACUUUUAGAUAAAUAUACUUUUUAUUUGAAUUAUCUUUAUUUGUUGGAAAAAAUUGAGGUAUUACAACUGCCCCUAUUUGGUAAAAAAUAAUUAAAUAUAAGGACCUAAAUUUUGUAAGUAAAUUAACUUCGAAUGUAGGAAAAAACAAAAAAAUAAUUUGAGAUGUAAAAAAAAUUGUUGAUUUGAAAAAACGAAAGCAUGUAAAAGAAGUUGGUGAUUCACAAAAAUAAAUAAAAAUAUAAAAAAAUGACCAUAUUCGAAAUGAUGAUCAACAUUUAGCGACGCAAAUAAAAAGCAUGAUCGUCUUUGGAUUGGUUACCGUAGAUCGAUCGAUAUAUAGAUAAAACAAUCGUCUUCGGAUUACUUAUCGAUGCGUUGAUCGACAUAAAUAAUGUGAUGACAUAAAUAAUGCGAUCGUCUUCGGAUUGAUUACCGAUACGUAGAUCAACAUAAAUAAAAUGAUGACAUAAAUAAUGUGAUCUUCUUUGGAUUGAUUACCGAUGCGUAGAUCGACAUAUAUAAAAUGACAAACAAGUUUUAGAAGGUAAAUAAAAAGAGAUAAAUUUGUUUUUAAAGGAAACAUGUAUAUGAUAAUUGCAAUACAAAUGUAUAAUGAAUAAUGUGAUACAAAAGUUGUUGAAUAUAAAUAAGAUAUACACAUAAGAUAUGCAUGAUUAAUUCAUUAUGCAUGACAUAAGGUGGUUGUUGAGUAUAUGUAAAAUAUGAGUGAAGAUACAUAAAUCAUGUGAUGACUAUUUUAAAAAACACUAUGCGAAAAAUAGGAUUUUACAGCACUUUUUUAAAGACAUUUACAACGCUUUAUCAAAAAAAAAAAAGCGUCGUAGAAUCGAGCGUUGUAAAAAGAUACAACAGCGCUUUUUAAAAUCAAAAAGCGCUAUAAAAAAUGUAGAUAUAUUGUGCGCUUGUUAUGCACCUUUUACAGCGUUUAUUUGAAAAAGCGCGGUAAAAUGUGCAUUCAAUAUAUGCAUUACUAUGCACCUUUUACAACGCUUUUUCAAAUAAGCGUUGUAAAGUAUACACUCAAUAUAUGCAUUAUUAUGCACCUUUUACAGCGCUUGUUCAAAUAAGCGCUAUAAAAGGUGCAUUCUUAUUUUAAGAAAGCGUUGUCUUUUAAUUUUUUUUCCAAAAUCAUUUUCUUCCAGAAUCAGUUCACAAUCAGUUCACACAAUCAUUUCACAAUCAGUACACAAAAACAGAACUAUAUAACUUAACUUUAUACUACAACAUAACUAUAUUCAUAUACAUAUUCAGAUAUUGUACAACAACACAUAUUCAUAUAACUACAUAUACAUAUUUAGAUAUUGUACAACAUCACAUAUUCAUAUACAUAUUCAGAUACUGUGCCCUAUUCAUAUACAUAUAACUAACACUAUUACACAGAACAAAACUAGCUACCAUAUAUUCAGAUCCCUUGCAGCAUGCUAUUUUCCAGCAAAUCAAAUAAUUUUCAUUUCAAGCACAUACUGACACCAAUCUUCUUUUAAUUCAAUUAGAUCUUUCUCAGAGUAUGUUGGACUGGAAUUGUUAAAGUACUGUGCAAUAUAAAAAUUGAACGUAAAUAAGUUAGAAUCAAAUAUAUACAUAAUUUAUAUAUGAAAAUCAAAUAAUGAAAAUACCGUACCAUUUCUGGAAUAAUAGUUUGAUUCCUAUCAAAAAUCUCCUUCAUGAAUCGCAAUACAUAGUACCCACAGUCGAUGUUGUUAGUUUGACGAGGGCACUAUAAAAUAAAACAUAUAAGUCAAUAAAAUAUUUGUGCAUUGAUUGUAAAGGCAUAUAUUUGUAAAUGAAAAUUUAAAGGCAUAUAUUUCAAACCUUUAUUGGAAUCCAUGUGAUGUUAUUAGACUCUUGCUUCGACACUGUAGCACCUCUUUGAGCUCGAAAAACUUGUAAAGCCCUAUCGAAUAACUAAAUGUGAUUAUUAUAGCAUUAACAAACACAUUAUUUAUAUAUAUAUGUAAGAAAUAAAUGAAUAUUACUUACGUGUCGAACAUAGUCUUUAUAUCAGAGUGAUUGUUGUAAUUGCCGUGCAAGGGAUCUAAAUAGUAUAUAACUUCAGAGGUCGCAUUGAUUGCAAAUAGAAUCCAAUGUGCCCUACAACAACAAAAAUUUGGUUGGCAAAUUUGUUUACACAACUAAUAAAUUAAGAUCUCAUAAAUUAAAAAAGAUAUAAAUAAAUAAUAUAUAAUUAUGUACCCUGAAUUAUAUGGUGCAAAGAACAACUUAUCCUUCUCUAUAUUCCUAAUAAGAUAUCUACAAUGUAUUUCUUUACAUUCACUAAAUCGAGUUUACACAUCGAAAGCUUAUGCGGAGACAAGAAUGAAUAUCUAUUUGAUAAUCUAGGCGUGCACACCAACUUCUCAUACAAAAACCUUCAAUGAAAAUUUCAAAUUAGAUUAAUUACCAAUAAAUGCAAUUAAAAGUAUUUUUUACCUAAUGUAUAAGCUGAUGACAGUAGCACUCAGCUCCUUAUGGUUGAGAAGUUCGUAUAUGUGCUCAUUUUCAAGAAAUUCUUCAUACUCAUCUCCGAAUAUAACUUUAUUCAUGCUUAUGAUGCGUGAAUCGUCGUUGCUGCCCAUAUUCCUUUUUACUUGGAUGUCAAGACACGACCCGUAUUUAGCAAGGCAUGGCUGACUUAUUUUAGGAGUAGCAGCGACUGAUUUUCCCCGAUCCAGUUUUUUAGCAGCAACUUUGGCAGCUUUAUUACCCUCCAGCUUUUGAAGUUUGCCAGCUUUAUUACCCUCCUAUUUUUGAGGUUUGCUGGCUUUAUUUUGCUGUGCAGGUGGUUUAUUUGAUUGAAUCUGAAAAAAUGAGGUUAAAUGUUAGUUUAUUGAAUCUGAAAAAAUGACAAACCUUAUGGAAUAAAUGUGACAAACCUUUUCCAGCGACGUAAUUGACUCGUUUCUACGAAUCUUCUUAUCAUUCCCUUUAAGCUUUUUCAGAAUCUAAAUAUAAAUGUGAAAUUAAAGUUAGCAGCAGAAAAAAAAUCAGCAAUUAAAUAUACAUAUCAAUUAAACAUACAUUUCAAUUAAUUAAACAUACCUUAUCAAGGGAAACAAGAUGUGUGGGCCAUGCCACGUAACUACCAACUGCUUCGCCCAAAAACUUCAUAUCUGCAUCGUUGUCUGGUAUAGGCAACGGUGCAUUUGGUUCCAAAGCAAUAACAGGUGAUACUUUGACAUGGCCCGCAGGGAUCGGUGUGUUGUGCAAUACUUCUCCCGAAGUAUUGUACAAUGUUCCUUUUCCGACCUUGCGAUGAGUUGGGGAGGAUAAGUACAUCACACAAUGAGUGACACCCUAAAUCAAUGGUUAAUACAUAAGUAUGGUUAAUACAUAAGUAAUUACAUAAGUAAGUAAUUAAUUACCUCGGGAAGACUUUUGAGACCAAUGUUGCAACUCGCGUUUUCACUCUCCAUUUGUAUUUCACGUUGGAGCUGAUCCGGGAGUUGCUUGUCUUUAUUCUUCUUUACCAAGAGUGCAAAUUGCUUUGAUAGGAGUUUGAGCUUCUCUAAUAUUUCCUCAUUUCAUGGAUUUUGGCGCUUCUCUUGUGAAAAAAAUCUUUUAGGAGUUACGCCAAAUCCUUUCCCCCUCACGCGACCGGAGUAUUCAGGAACAUUAAACAUUUUACCGAGAAUGUUCCUGCAACUAGCUUUGUUGUCCUCUUGAUUUUCCGAACUUUGUUUGAGAUUCUCCUAAAAUACAUGUAGGAUUAAAAAGAUAAGUUCAAUAUCAUUUUUAAAAUACAAUAUUAAAAAAUAUUAAAGUGAUAGUAUUAAAGUGAUAAAAUACAAUAUUAAAAAAAUAUUAAAGUGAUAAUAUACUUACACAAAGUUCUAUUACUUUUUGAACAUUUUCGUUAUCAACCACUCCGUCCUUAUUACACGGAGCUUCCUUCCACAAGAUAUGAAGACCCAACGGUUGAUCUGAUUGGUUGUCUUGUUGCUAUUCGUUAAGAUCAUAAACAAAAUAUUAGUUAGAAACUAUAGUUUAUAGUACAAAUUCCCUCAUUGUAUGGGUGCGUCCAAUUUUUUGCCCUCUCGCGAUUUGCCUUACUUAUAUUCUAUAUAAGAAAAUAACAAAUGCUAUGAAUAAUCACUUACCACAAACGCGGGGUCCGAACGUUUUGAUGCAAAUGCACUUCAUUCUUCAUUUGAUAUAUAAUGUUUAUAUAUUCUUGGAGCUUCCGCAUUCAUAUUUCCUUCACUAUCUUUUAGAUAGAAAUUUGAGUGGUGAGAUCUAAAACCCCGGUGUAUUUUCCCGGCAACUCUCAAGACGUAAUUCUUUCUCGCCUCAUCAAGAACAAAAGCAAUUUAAAAGCAAAAUAAAGAUAUAGUUUGAGUAAAGUAUUUCAAUGGAAAAAAUUAUAAAUGACAAAAGAGUGGAUCAAAAAAGUUACCUGUAUAUCAUUCCACAAUAUCUUUCGCAUCCUUCAACGCCUUAUCUCUCCAAUCAUCAAUUGUAAUGGGGAUAUUUUGACGAACAACAGCCCCAAUGUAACUUACAAACAUGGAGCUGUUGUGGUCAAUUGGUUGACCAAUCUCAUUCCAUCCAACCUAAUAAACUCAUAUAGUAAGUACAUGCUUUCAAAAAAGAUAAAAAAUAAACAGCAAACAGACUAUAGUAUACCUCAAAUUUUAUCCCACUGCUCCUUGCUUUUAUGACCUUUUUCGUUAUGGUUGCACCACGUUUGACUUCAUUUUCGUAAGUCUUGGUGUUGACAACUUCCUCAGACAAUCCAAAGCCUUGUUAGAAUCCAUUUAUCUACAACAAGUUCAACAUGCAGUUCAUUAUAACUUCAACAAGUUCAACAUGCAGUAGUCUAAGUACGUAUCAGAAUAAGUUCAACAUGCAUUUUAGUGAUAACAAAAAAUUAAUAACAUCAAUUCCUGAAUAGUGAGAAGAAAUACGUAGGGUUCGUAGGAGAAGGAACACGUAGGGUUCGAAGAAGUACGUAAUGUGCAGUAAUGAGGGUUUGUAGAAACUGAAGUAUGGUUCGAAGAAAUACAUAAUGAGGGUUACGUAUUUCAAUGAAAAGAGAUGGUGUGUAAUGGGAGAGAUGAUCGUGGAAAUAUGAUUCGAAAUGAGAGAGAUGAUCGGGGAAAUAUGGUUCGUAAUGGAAGAGAUGAUAGGGUUCGCAAAGGAAGAGAAGAACGAUGAAGAGGAGAUGAUAGUGAAGUUUAUGUAAUGAAGAGGAAACUGAAGCGGUUUAGUGUUAUAUAUAAAACCCUAUUACAACGCUUUUUUAGAAGGCUUUUACAGCGUUUGUUGGAAAAGCUCUCUAAAAAGCCUUCUUAUUUUAUUUUUAAAAGGCUCUUUUACAGCGCUUGUAGAAUAAGCGUUGUAAAAGAUCUUUUUGUUUUCUUUUGUUAUAUGACUAUUUUUUUAAAAGCCUUUUACAGCGCUUUUUCAAAUAAGCGCUCUAAAAGGCCUUCUUAUUUUAUUUUUAAAAGGCUCUUUUACAACGCUUAUUGAAUAAGCGCUGUAAAAGACCUUUUUGUUUUCUUUUGUUAUAUGACUGUUUUUUUAAAAGUCUUUUACAACGCCUUUUAUAUUCAGUUCAGUUCAUGUAAAUUACCUAUAUUUGGAUUUUUUUUUUCAGUUCAGUUCAGUUCAGUUCAUGUAAAUUAUUAGUUUAUAUUCAGUUCAGUUCAUGUAAAUUACUAGUUUAUAUUAAAUUACAUGAACUUAGUAUAAACACUAAGAUCAAGCUAAAUAUAUGCAGAAAAUAAAUAUAAGCAGAAAAUCAAAUACAUGGCUUCUUAUAUAAAACAAUUAAACAUGUUCAAACAAUUAAAUUACAUGAACAAAAUUGAGAUUACAUGGCUUAUAUAAAAUUAUUAAACAUGUACGUUAAGAUGUCCUUCUUCUUAUCCUGGUGGGAUUCACAUUUGUUUGUCCAUUAAUGAUACGAAACGAUGGAUUAAUCCAAAUUCCCUCAUCAUGAUCAUCUCUAAGAUAUAAACCAUCAUUAGUUGAAUCAAUUUCAUGUGGUUGUGAUGUUGCAAAUAAAAGAUCAUUACCAACAUCUUCAUCAUUAUUGUUAUCAUCACUUAUUUUAUUGGUCGAUAGGACAACAGACCAUUUAUCAUCAGUAGGAUCAGUGACAUAAAACACUUGUUGAGCUUGCGACACUAAAAUAAAAGGCUCGUCUUUGUAUCCCACCCUAUUAAAAUCGACAAGCAAGAACCCUGACCCAUCAAUUCGAACGCCAUUAUUACUAUCGACCCACUUGCAACCAAAUAUGGGAACACGAAAUAUUGUGUAGUCUAACUCCCAUAUGCGCUCGAUAACCCCAAAAUAUGAUAGAUUUACAUAUAUUGGGUUUUUGUCUUUUGCUCUUGAGACAUGCAUCGCUUCAGCUACGAGAGUUACUCCAUUAUUUUGCAUAGUGGUCUGAUCAUCUUGUUCUUUGGUAAAAAAAGUGUAGUCGUUAAUUACAUAACCAGUGUAAGAAAAGACAUGUAAACUCGGACUAUUUGCUAGCCACUUCAAUCUCUGUGAAAUUGAUCUGGGGUCUAUAUCAAACUUUGACUUUAUGUGAUUAUUUAACCAUGUUAUAAAACUUGAUUAUGCUAUCGAGUUAUCCAAUUUUGAUUCCUAUUCAUGUUAAAACGAGAUAACUGAUCCAUGUGUAUUGUAACAUACGGUUGAACCUCAUCAUCAUUGUGCAAAAUAUACAAUUGUGCCUGCUCCCAUUCUGUCCUUGAUAUAGUCAUUAGUCUCCUUCCAAUUAUCCCUUCUCCUGAUAGUCUUCCCGAAUGACGAGACAUGGGAAGCCCUAUGGAUUCAACAUUGGACAGAUAUUCAGUACAAAAUUCAGCAGCCUCUUCAACAAUGUAUCGUUCAGCAAUACAACCUUCUGGUCGACUUCUACUUUUUACGUACCCUUUUAAUAUUUUCAUAUAUCGUUCUAUCGGAUACAUCCAUCUCAUAUAAGCUGGCCCACAAAGUUGUGUCUCCUUAACCAGAUGAACAGUAAGGUGAACCAUUUCCCCAGAUAUUAUUCCCGAAUGACGAGACAUGGGAAGCCCUAUGGAUUCAACAUUAGACAGAUAUUCAGUACAAAAUUCAGCAGCUUCUUCAACAAUGUACCGUUCAACAAUACAACCUUCUGAUCGACUUCUACUUUUUACGUACCCUUUUAAUAUUUUCAUAUAUCGUUCUAUCGGAUACAUCCAUCUCAUAUAAGCUGAUCCACAAAGUUGUGUCUCCUUAACCAGAUAUACAGUAAGGUGAACCAUUAUAUCAAAAAACGAGGGUGGGAAAUACAUUUCAAGCUCACACAAAGUAACAACAAUUUCCCUCUGCAAUGUCGGUCAUUUCUGAGGAUCGAUCACUUUACUACAAAUUUCUCUGAAGAAGAAACAUAAUCUAGUUAACGCUCGUCGAACUUUUUCAAGUAAAAUGGAACGUAUACCUAUUGGUAGCAAAUGCUCAUUAGAAUAUGACAAUCAUGGGUCUUUAAACCUUUUAACUUGAGGUUUUUCAUACAAACCAAAUUUUUAAUGUUUGAAGAGUAUCCUUCUGGAACUUUAACUUCGUGUAGAAAUUUACAUAAUUUUUUUUCCUUUCUAGAUAGAGUAUGAGCGGCUAGAGGUAGAUAUGUGCGAUUUCCUUUCUUUACGGGACCCAAUUCAUUUCUUAUUCCCNNNNNNNNNNNNNNNNNNNNNNNNNNNNNNNNNNNNNNNNNNNNNNNNNNNNNNNNNNNNNNNNNNNNNNNNNNNNNNNNNNNNNNNNNNNNNNNNNNNNNNNNNNNNNNNNNNNNNNNNNNNNNNNNNNNNNNNNNNNNNNNNNNNNNNNNNNNNNNNNNNNNNNNNNNNNNNNNNNNNNNNNNNNNNNNNNNNNNNNNNNNNNNNNNNNNNNNNNNNNNNNNNNNNNNNNNNNNNNNNNNNNNNNNNNNNNNNNNNNNNNNNNNNNNNNNNNNNNNNNNNNNNNNNNNNNNNNNNNNNNNNNNNNNNNNNNNNNNNNNNNNNNNNNNNNNNNNNNNNNNNNNNNNNNNNNNNNNNNNNNNNNNNNNNNNNNNNNNNNNNNNNNNNNNNNNNNNNNNNNNNNNNNNNNNNNNNNNNNNNNNNNNNNNNNNNNNNNNNNNNNNNNNNNNNNNNNNNNNNNNNNNNNNNNNNNNNNNNNNNNNNNNNNNNNNNNNNNNNNNNNNNNNNNNNNNNNNNNNNNNNNNNNNNNNNNNNNNNNNNNNNNNNNNNNNNNNNNNNNNNNNNNNNNNNNNNNNNNNNNNNNNNNNNNNNNNNNNNNNNNNNNNNNNNNNNNNNNNNNNNNNNNNNNNNNNNNNNNNNNNNNNNNNNNNNNNNNNNNNNNNNNNNNNNNNNNNNNNNNNNNNNNNNNNNNNNNNNNNNNNNNNNNNNNNNNNNNNNNNNNNNNNNNNNNNNNNNNNNNNNNNNNNNNNNNNNNNNNNNNNNNNNNNNNNNNNNNNNNNNNNNNNNNNNNNNNNNNNNNNNNNNNNNNNNNNNNNNNNNNNCCCAUCAUAAACUUCCACACAUGUCUCCCACAUAAUUUUUAAAUCUUCAAUUAAAGGAGUCAAGUAUACGUCGAUAUCAUUAUCCGGUUGUUUGGGUCCAGAAAUUAACAGAGACAACAUCAUAAACUUAUGCUUCAUACAUAACUGUGGAGGUAGGUCAUAAAUCAACAAAAUCACAGGCCACGUUCCGUGUGAGAUGCUUUGAAUACCAUGUGGAUUCAUUCCAUCAGUAGAAAGUGCAAGUCUUAGAUUUCUUGACUCCAUCCCGAAUUCAGGAUACUCGUGAUCAAUUUUUGCCCAUUGUGGGGAAUCUGCAGGGUGUCGAAACAUUCCAUCUCUAAUUCUUUCAUCUGCAUGCCAUGUCAAGUGUUUUGAAUCUUCUUCACUGUGAUACAUGCGCCUAAAUCUUGGUAUUAUAGGAAAAUACCACACGACUUUUGUUGGAGUAGAUUCUUUCUUCUUAUAUCGAGAGACAUUGCAUUUUGGACACGCAUGAAUCCUUUCGUAACUCAUGCCAAUAGAGCACAAAAUCCGUGUAGCCUCGUAGGUUCGACUUGGAAGUUCAUUAUCAUCUGGCAACAUAUCUUUUAAGAGUGUUAAUAAUUCUGUGAAGCUUUUAUCAGACCAUCCAUUACUCACUUUUAAGUUGUUCAACUUUAAUAUCGCUGACAGUCUUGUGAAUUUAGUACAACCAUUAUAUAAUGGUUUCUCUGCAUCACUCAACAAACUCUCAAACAUUUUAGGACAAUCCCGAAGAUCUUCUUCAACUGCUUUUGCAAUCUCCUCAACUCGGUCCAGCUCAUAUGUAUCUGUAUUGAAGUCAGUUGAAGAAUAUGUCGAACCAUUCUCAAAAUUAAUGUUUCCUUUUUUUUUCUCACCAUGUCUUAUCCAACAUGUAUAGCUUUGAUCAAUUCCAUUCCAUACUAAAUGUCAUUCCAAUUCUUCUUCUCUAACACAUUUUUCAAAACAACAUUUUAAACAAGGACAAACGACUCUAUUUGGAUCUUUUGCAUUCUUCACUGCAAACUCAACAAACUCCUUCACUCCAUUUUCAUACUCUUUUGACAAUCGAUUGGCAGACAUCUAUUUCCGGUCCAUAUUAUAUGACCUAUAUAAAUGCAGUUACACAAAUAAUAAGCUAUUGAUAACAUUAUACCAAUAUAUAGUACACAUAUCUAAUAUUGAAAAAUGGAAACCAAGGUCCAUUAUUAUGUAACAAUUUCAAAACAAAAAAGAUUUCAAAACAGAACACAUCAACAUAUUUCAAAAAGAAAAGAUUUAUUAUGUAACAAUUUAUUAGUUUUCAUGACAACAACAAAUUAAUAAAUACAGUACCUGAGACAACGUAUCCAAUUUNNNNNNNNNNNNNNNNNNNNNNNNNNNNNNNNNNNNNNNNNNNNNNNNNNNNNNNNNNNNNNNNNNNNNNNNNNNNNNNNNNNAGAUCAACAAAUUUCAAAAAAGAAAAGAUUUUAUAUGACUUAUUAUGUAACAAUUUAUUAGUUUUCAUGACAACAACAAAUUAAUAAAUACAGUACCUGAGACAACGUAUCCAAUUUUUUAUAAAGGAGGAGCUGUAGAUGACCGCACAGUACGUAGAGGAGAAGAUGGUUCGUAAAUUUGUUUUUAUUUAUUUAAAGUAAAUGAUUUUUAUAAGGCUUUUACAGAGCUUGUAACAAAAGCGCUCUAAUAGGUCAUUUAAUUAUAUGAAAGCGCGUGUCUUUUACAACGCUUGUAAAAAAGCGCUCUAAUAGGUCAUUUAAUUAUUUGAAAGCGCAAGUCUUUUACAACGCUUGUCCAAAAAGCGUUGUAAAAGCUAUGUAACAUCAGGUGGGAGCGCUAUAUUUUACAGCGCUUGUGAACAAGCGCUGUAAAAGCCUUGUAAACAUUAUACGCAUGCGCUAUAUGACCCUACAACAACGCUUUUUCACAGCGCUUGUCAAAUAAGCGCUCUUAUAUCCUCCGUUAUUUUUAAAAUAUAAUUACAACAACACUUGUAUUUAAUAAGCGCUGUAAAAGGCGCACUAUAAAAUGUCAUUUUUGGCGUAGUGAAAUGUAAGAUGCAUGCAAUGAAGAUAAAUUCUUGUUAAAUUAUUUUUAUUUUUUUGGGUUCCCCGAUCCUUAUGCGACUUUAUACACCCUUCAUUUUUUCUUAUACACCCGUAUAUCUCACGUUCCCGUGUAUAUAUUUUCAAGCAUCAAAAUAUUUAAGAUAUUUUUUUUUUAAAAUUUUCAUAUAUUUCAAAUUCCCAUAUUUAUUAUCAUAAAAUAACAUUUUAAAAAACGUUAGAACAAACAACAAUGAGACUAAAUUUGUUUAGAAAGAGUGUAAGGCACAACAUCGAACAAUGAUAUUGGAAAAUGUACAUUCAUUACAUUGAAAAUAAAACAAAGGAGACAAGGGUUACAAUGUGGUGAAUGUGUUUAGCUUUAGUUGGAGAGACAACAAACGCUAGUCAUUCUUGUAAUUUAGAACUUCUAAGAAUAAUAACUGCCCCAACUUGAAACGCUUGAUUCUUUUGUUAUCCCUAGCUUUUGCAUGGACUUUCCAAGUUUUCAAUCCGUCGGGAUGCUCUAAUUUUUUCCUUGGUCGCCUUUUCAGGUUUUCAACCUAGCGAGCCCAAUUUUCUAUUAUUUAUUUUAAGCAUAAUAUUACUUGACUGCAUCUGAUUUUACUGGAAGUGGAAGCUCAUCUCCAUCCAUUUCUGCGAGUAUUAGAGCACCCCCAGAGAAAGCUUUUUUCAAAACAUAUGGUCCUUCGUAGUUCGGAGUUCACUUUCUCCGAGAAUCCUUUUUUAUGGGCAAUGUUUUCUUUAACACUAAUUCUCCUUCUCAAAACUCUCGAGGACGGAAUUUUUUCUCGUAGGCUUUUUUGAGUCUUUUCUGAUAUAGCUGACCAUGACACAAAGGUAUCAUUAUUUUUUCUUCUAUGAGAUCCAAUUGGUCAUAUCGUGAUUGAACCCACUCUUCCUCUUCUAGUUUUGUUUCCAUCAGGACUUUGAUCGAGGGAAUUUUAACUUUGAUGGGAAGUACCGCUUCCAUUCUAUACACCAAUGAGAAAGGAGUUGUCCCUGUUGAGGUAUGAACAGAGGUUCUAUAGCCAUGUAAUGCAAAGGGAAGCAUUUCAUGCCAAUCCUUAUAUGUCUCCACCAUCUUCUGUAUGAUCUUGAUAUUCUUAUUUGCUGCUUCUACAGACCCAUUUAUUUUCGGAUGAUAUGGCGAAGAAUUAUGGUGCUGAAUUUUGAAACUAUCACACAACUCUUUCAUCAUUUUGUUAUUCAGAUUAGUCGCGAUAUCAGUGAUUAUCUUAUUUGGCAAUCCAUAUCGACAAAUCAAUUAGCUUUUGAUGAAUCUGACAACCACACUUCUCGUCACAUUGGCAUAAGAAGCGGCUUCAACCCAUUUUGUGAAAUAAUCAAUAGCUACUAGGAUAAACCGGUGUCCAUUUGAAGCCUUAGACUCGAUGAGUCCAAUAACAUCUAUUCCCCACAUUGAAAAUGGCCAUGGUGAUGUUAAAAGAUUCAAAGAGGUGGGUGGUACAUGUAUUUUAUCAGCAUAGAUUUGACAUUUAUGACAUUUCUUUACGUGACUAAAGCAGUCGGAUUCCAUGGUCAACUAAUAGUAGCCAGCUCUUAAGAUUUUUCUUGCCAUUGCGUGCCCAUUUGAAUGAGUUCCAAAAGAACCUUCAUGAACCUCUUGGAUAAUUUUCUCCGCUUCUGCUUUAUCCACAUAUCUGAGGAGAACCAUAUCAUGAUUUCUCUUAUAAAGCACAUCGUCAUUCAAGAAGAAAUUCAUUGACGAUCUCCGUUUAAAACCCAAUGGAUAUUCCUUAUUCUUAACAUAUGAUUUGAUGUCAUAAAACCAUGGCUUGCCAUCAAACUCUUCUUCUAUUGAUAAGCAAUAUGCAAGUUUAUCUCUUUGUCGAAUUUUUAUGACCGGCACAUCCUGAUUAAUGGUUAUUUUGAACAUUGACGACAAAGUGGCCAAGGCGUCAGCUAACUGGUUUUCUUCUCGAGGGAUAUGGUGAAAAGUAAUCUUCUCAAAGUGUUCUGUCAAUUAUUUGAUAUGGGUGUGAUACGAAAUCAAUUUGGAAUCUCGCGUUUCCCACUCUCAUUUUGUCUGAUGGAUGACCAACAAUGAGUCUCCAUAUACCUCAAAAAAAUUUACAUUUGAUUCGAUAACUGCUUUAAUGCCCAUAACACAUGCUUCAUAUUCUGCAAUAUUGUUUAUACAAUCAAAACACAACCUGGCUGUAAAUGGAGUGAACUGGUUUUCUGGAGAAAUCAAAAUGGCUCCAAUUCCAUGCCCUAACGCAUUAGAGGCAACAUCAAACACCAACCUCCAUUUUUCUUUAUCAGAUGAUUCAGUCUCUUCAAAUAAAGUCAUUAUGCCUUCAUCAGGGAAUUCACACUGCAUUGAUUGAUAAUCUUCUACCAGUUGUUGGGCCAAAAACUCUGCUAGUGCGCUUCCUUUGAUAGAUUUUUGUGUAACAUAUAGCAAAUCAUAUUCUGAUAACAACAUCUGCCAACGGGCGAUCCUUCCAGUAAGAGAAGGUUUCUCAAAGAUGUACUUAAUUGGGUCCAUUUUAGACACCAACCAAGUUGUAUGACAUAACAUGUAUUGCCUCAAUCGACGAGCAGCCCAUGCCAAUGCGCAACAUGUUCGUUCAAGCAGUGAAUAUCUUGUUUCACAACUGGUGAACUUUUUGCUCAAAUAAUAAAUAGCAUGUUCUUUCCUACCAGAUUCAUUAUGCUGCCCCAGUAGACAACCCAUUGACUCGUCAAGUAUUGUUAAGUACAUAAUAAGUGGUUUCUUAGGAACAGGAGGCACUAGGAUGGGAGGUUUUGAUAAGUACUUUUUAAUCUUUUCGAAAGCUUUUUGACAAUUCUCAUUCCAUUCAAAUUUUUUCUUUGCGCAACAAUUUGAGAAUCGGCUCGCAUGUAGCGGUGAGAUGCGAUAUAAACCUUGCAAUGUAAUUCAAUCUACCCAAAAAGCCACAAACUUCUUUUUCCGUGCAUGGAGUCGGCAUUUCUUGUAUUGCUCUUACUUUAUCUGAGUCCACUUCUAUCCCUUUUUGACUAAUGAUAAACCCAAGUAACUUGCCUGAUCUAACACCAAAGGUGCAUUUAACAGGAUUUAAAUGGAGUCUGAACUUCCUUAGUCGCUAAAAUAACUUUUGAAGGUUAACAACAUGGUCUUCUUCAGUUCGAGAUUUUGCAAUCAUAUCGUCCACGUAAACCUCUAUUUCCUUAUGCAUCAUGUCAUGAAACAAGGUUACCAUUGCUCUUUGAUAGGUUGCCCCGACAUUCUUCAAUCCAAAUGGCAUCAUUUUAUAGCAGAAAUUCCCCCAUUGUGUGAUGAACGUAGUUUUCUCCAUAUCUUCGGGAGCCAUCUUGAUUUGAUUGUACCUUGAGAAACCAUCCAUGAAGGAGAAAAGAGAGUAUUGAGCAGUGCUAUCCACUAGGACAUCAAUAUGAGGUAGAGGAAAAUCAUCUUUAGGACUAGCUUUAUUUAAAUCCCGAUAAUCAACGCACAUUCGAACCUUUCCAUCUUUCUUUGGAACUAGUACAAUAUUAGCCACCCAUUGAGGAUAUUUUGCUACUGCUAAGAAACCAGCAUCAAAUUGCUUCUUGACCUCUUCUCUAAUUUUAAGUGACAUAUUAGGUCUCAUCCUUCUCAACUUCUGUUUAAUUGGAGUGUAUUCAGGCAUGAGUGGUAGCUUGUGUUCAACUAUGUUAGUAUCUAGCUCGGGCAUAUCCUGAUAUGACCAUGCAAAGACAUCCACAUAAUCAAGUAAAAGUUUAACCAACUUUUCUCGCUCACUGUCUUUCAUAGACAUAUCAAUUUUAACUUCUUUCUUAUCAUGCUCAGUCCCUGAAUUGAUCACCUCAAUAGGUUCUUGAUAGGGUUGGAUUAUCUUAGCUUCCUGUUCAAUUAAGCUUUCUAGUUCUGGGGGAGGCUCACAAUUGUCUUCACAAUCCUCAUCAGCAUGAUUAAUCAGACAUUCAAAAUUACAAGAAAAGGUUCUAGCUCUGUUAUUUUCAACAUAUUCAUUUUCGACUCUACAUUGUUUAAAUUAAGAAGAAAAAAGGAAAAAAAAAUAAGAAUAAGGAUUGCCAAAAGAAAAAGAGAAAAGAGAAAAGAGAAAAACAAAACUAGUUGGAGAGUUCAAAAAUGCAUUUAUUGAUAAUAAGUACGGAAUUGAAAUACAUAUGCCCUAAUUACAUAGCCUAGGGCAGAGCAAAAGGAGUUAAAAAUACAUAAUUACUUUGAAUACGAAUUAACAAACACGGGAAACUCGAUGAUUUUCUAAUUGUUGAGAUUGGUGUUUGGAGGACAAGGGCACACUAGCUUGAUCAUCACCAUGAUCCUCUUCCGCAACAACCACCUGAUCAGCAUAUAUUAUUCCGGCGCUUUGAAUAUUUUGGCGAAUGUCACAAAUAGGAAUCUUCUGUGAAUUCGGUAUCCAGUUUUCCCAAUGAAUCAUCCUGCUUUCUCUUUUUUCCUUCGUAGCAUUCUCUUUAUCAGCUUGAGUGGGUACAUAUCCCAAGCCGUACCUAUUGUUCUUUUCUGGUAUUUCUAUCAACUUCCCCAAAUUAACAAAAACUCCUCCAUCUAACAUGAAUUUGGUAUACUUCAAUGAUGUGGUAGAUUGUUUUGGUUCUUUUAAACGAUAUCCUUCACCCAUGAAGACAACAUUGGAAAUUUCUAAUGCUUGAAAAGAAGUAUAUAUGGCUUCCUUCGUGUCUUCAAUGUAGCCUGUAGAAGAUAAAUGACUUACUAUCAUAUCUUUUUCCCCAGAUAUUAUUACCAGCUAAUUGUUCACUAUAAACUUUAGCUUUUGAUGGAGGGUGGAUGUCACUGCUCCAACAGCAUGAAUCCACGGUCUCCCUAAAAGACAACUGUACGCCGGUUUAAUAUCCAUCACUUGGAAGGUUAUCCCAUAAAUAUGGGGUCCAAUUUGAAUCGGCAGGUCAAUCUCACCAACAACUUGUCUUCUAGAUCCAUCAAACUCUUUCACCACCAAAGCACUAGGCUUCAAACAUGCUCCCUCAAGAAAUAGUUUUAAUAGUGUUGAUUUAGGCAUAAUAUUUAACGGUGAACCAUUAUCUACUAGCACUCGUGCAAGAAUAUGAUCGUGACACCUCACAAUGAUGUGUAGUGCUUUAUUAUGCUCUAUCCCUUCUGCUGGUAAUUCAUUAUCGCUAAAACUCAAGCAACUACUAGCAGUGAUGUUACCGACAACUCCAUCAAACUGAUCGACAGUGAUAUCGUGAGUAACAUGAGAUUCAUUUAAAACUUUCAUAAGUGCCCUUCUAUGUGCUUUAGAAUUCAAUAACAAGGAGAGAACUGAUAUCUUGGAAGGGGUUUGAUUUAGCUGAUCCACCACCUUAUAUUCACUUUGCUUGACAAACUUCAAAAAAUCAUUAGCUUCUUCUUUAGACGCCGUCUUUUUACUGGUCUCUUGUCCUUUUAUGGCAUGAUACAUAUCUUUUUUCCCUUUUUCUCCAUGAACCUCAUUUUUCCUACGUUGUUGAGGAGUGUAUACUCGACCACUCCGAGUCAUUUCACCAAUCCCUGAUAUGUUAGUGACAUCAGUUCCUUUAGAUUUACAACCAUCACUUGGUUGAUAAUUGGCCAACCGGUACUGCCUUGGUAUUUCCGUAAGGAAAAGGGGUUAGUGCUUGGACAAUUAUUGCAUUUGGCCUGCUAGGAGUUGACUUAAGAUUCUCCUUUUUGUAAAGGAUUUCCAAUGGUUUUGGGAAAGAUAUAUUUUUUCCACACACGACCCCAUGGUCAUCACAUGAUCAUCUUUUACAUAUUGGUCUAUCCCAUCUUCAAUGACACUGAUAGAGGCAUCCCUGUGGCCCGACAAGGGAUUACUCCCUAUGUUGGGACCAUCCUCUUUGAAGGUAAGCCAUUUUGCAUUAAUCAAUUCCUGCACUUUAGAUUUUAGGGCUUGACAAUCUUCGAUGGAAUGCCCCACGACUCCUACAUGGUAUUCACAUUUUGCAUUUGGAUUGUCCCAUUUUGGAAAUGGUGGUUCAAGAGGUUUCAUUGGUCUUGGGACUACCAUUGAAUUUUAAAAUAAGUGAGGAAACAAUUGGUUGUACGUGACAGGAAUUGGGUCAAAAUGGGUUAUCCUUUUUUCUCGAUUAACAGGUGGUCUGUAGUGAUUUGGAAUUGGAUUUUGAUUCCAUUGAUUUUGUUGGGAAAAUCUGGUAGGUGGUGGUUGAUAAAAAGGUGGUCUUGAAUGGUGAUAUUGAGGGUAUGAAGCUUGUGUGGUUGCGGCCACUUAUGGAUAAGGAAUGUAAGGAGUUUGUGGUAUCAGGGACUGGAAAUUUGGGGGUCGAUAAGAAUUGAUGGGCAGAAAAUAGAAGACUAUGGGGUUUACCAUUACAGUGUUGGCAUCCUCUUAUCUUUUUUUUUUUUUGUGAAUGUCGCUUGGGGUGGUUUCAUGCUAGUUGUUGCACAUACGAUCUUGCCACUCCUCAUCCCACUUUCUAUCCUUUCUCCUAUCAUGACCAGGUCAGAAACGUUUGUUGACAUACUCCUGAUCAUCUUAUCAUAAAAAGGCGACUGGAGAGUAUCCAUAAACAUACCAACCAUUUCUCUUUCAGAUAAAGGAGGUUCUACUUGUGAUGCCAUUUCCCUCCACCGCUGUGCGUAUUCUUUGAAAGCUUCAUUGUCACUUUUCAAUGAAUUUUGCAAUUGCAUCCUAUUAGGGGCCAUGUCAACAUUGUACCUGUAUUGUUUCAAAAAGGCACCAGCUAGGUCUUUCCAUGAACGAAUUUGAUUUCGCUCAAGAUGCAUAUACCAACUUAACGAUGCCCCACUCAAACUGUCUUGGAAAAAGUGAAUGAGAAGUUUAUCGUUAUGAGCAUGACAUGCCAUUUAGGACAUGUGUUGCCCUUGUAUUUUUCAAAGUCAGGAACCUUGAAUUUGGGAGGGAUAGUCACAUCAGGAACCAAACACAUAUCGAAAGCUUCAAGGCCAUAAACAUUAUACCCUUCAACUACUUUUAUUCGCUCUUCCAAGACAUGAAAAUUUUCCUUUGAUUAUGUAUCAUCCCCAAUGUGAGGUUGAUGCCAAUUCCCAUUAGCAUCGAAAUGGGGUACUUUGGGUGCAAUAUAUGGAAUAUUUUCUGAUGGUAGAGCAUUUUGGGGUGGCACCUAGCCUAGAGGAGAUGGGAUGUGUGAUUGGUUUUGGGGGUUGAUAGUUUAGUGGUUUGAGUUUUUGUCCAUGGGGUUGAUGACUAAAGGUGGAGUAUAACCGAGUGGGAGACUGUACAUCGGAAAUUGCAUAGUUGUUGUACAAUGUUGUUGGGUAGUCGGGGUAAAGCCUGGUGGGCGAGAAGAAGUGGUUUGGUGUUCUUCAAUUGCAGUCGGAGGAUUCUCAUAUGUAUUCCCCUUCCUUGACAAAGCUUGUAUAGCUUCUAAGAUUUGAUCAACCUUGUCCUUCAAUUGGUUGACAUCCACUCGCAUCACUUCUUGAUUUUGCUCAAAUUCUUCCAUGAUCUUCGAGUUUGCACGAGUCCGAUAAGGGUGUUAGGGAAACAGCUUUAUUGAUUUUUUCUAUUAUGUGUUUUUUUUUAAUAAAAAGAAAAUAUGAGUAUGUAUUAAACAUAAAUGGAAUGAAGAUGCAAUUAUUAACUCUUUUUUUUUUACAUUUGGAUGUUGGGGAAUCAUAAGUCUUACGAAUAUGAAUUAUUAGUGAACAAGAAAUAUGGAAAUCGGUAAACAAAACAGCAAAUCCUUCAUUGAUGAGAAAAAGUACAUUACAAUUAAAUUAAAAACUAUAUCGAUUAUGGUAUUUCAAUCAUCUUUUUCAACAGGACAACCAAUCCUCUCCUCCAAUUCUUCUACUAAAUGUUUGCAAUAUUCGACAAACUUGUAGACUUUGAUUGGAGUAUUGAGUGGGUGCAUUACUGCAUCAAUCUCUCUUAGAUGUUUUGGAAUUUUUAUGAUUUCCUGAUUAGCUAGCAUUGCCAAUUUUGAAAAGCAAUCUUUCCAAUGCUUGCCUUUAUCUUCUAACUCUUUGUAGAUCUCUUGAUUCUUCAAUUGUCCAAGAAACAUCAUGAAACGCUCCUCCCAAUAUAUGGUUUCAUCCUUUAAGUCAUUAUAGAUCUUUCUUGAUAAUCAAUGUAAUUCUUCAACUCACUAGAAAUCUCCAUUUCUGUUCUUAGCGCGUCUUGAUGUUUUGAGAGUAAUUCUUCAAUUUCUUCUUUGUGUUGCCUCUCAUUGCUUGCUUGAAUCUCAUACUCAACUACCAUUUCUUUCAGUUGUUUCUUUAAAUCUUCAAACUCUUUUUCUAUCUUCUUUUCAGAGCUUGCUGAUUUUGCCCACAACUGCUUCCAUAUAUAGGCUUAUUCGAUAGCUGCAUUAUUUUCUUCCUUUCAUACAUCUAACUCUUCAUUUGCACCUCUCAAACAAUCCUGUAUGUCAAGUUUAUUGUCUUUUUCGAUUUUCAACCUUUUGUUGCUUCUUUCAAUAAACUAACUUUUACAUGUGUUUUCUGAUUGUAAGUUCUCAUUCUCUUGGGAGACUUUUUCUAACUUUGGUUGUAGCUCUUUUUUCUCCUUUUCAAAUUUUAGCAAUGAUGCUUUGAGUUCUUCUAUCUCUUCAUUUGCUACAAGGAUAGGUUCGGGCAUGUCCUGAUCAUUUGAGGGUGUACUGUGGAAAGACAGCUUGAUUUUUUGGACUCUUUUCUUUAUCCAUUGUUGAUAGGGUUCUUUUGUGAUGCAACUUCUACAUCCGAGCACUCUUCGUUUUCUAAUGAUCAACUCCCAAGCUCGACUUAUUCUUCUCAACAUUGGUGGGUCUACUAUACCCGUAUUGUGCAAAAUAAAAACUUCCAAUGACUUAUCAUCUAGUUUAUCCAACAUAGGGUAGCCAAGUUGUCUCUGAGCUACCAUUGGAUUGUAAUUAAUAUAUCUUUUCGUUCCCAUGAGAGGUACAUUUGGAAAAUCUCCACAUUGGAAUAUUACCUCUUCCACCCCUUGUUCUCCAAUAAGGCAAGCUAUACUUUGAGCCCAUUCACGAUUACUCUUAACCCCAAUAUGAUACCCUUUCUUGAACAUGUGAGACACAAAUCAAGUAUACAACACAAAAUUGUUUCCCCCUUCUUCUCGUGUCGCAUAUGUAGAGAGUAGUAUACAUUAGCAAGAACCGUAGGAACUGGAUUUUGUUUAUGUUUGUUAAAAGCUAAGAAGACAUUGAUGGCAACAAAAUCUACAAAAUUAUCAAGGUUUGGGAAUAAAACAAUACCAUAGAUAAUUUGAGCCAAAACAUCUAUAAAAGCACUCCAUUCUUUUUUAACGGCUAAAUCUUGGCAUUUUUGCUCUAGAUAUUUUCUUGAAAAACCAUGAAUGGCUCCUUGUUUCUCUUUUGUACUUGCCAACUCUCUAAUAUCGAUUUUCAACAUUUCAGAAAUUGCAUCCAAACUCGGUGGUUGCCCAAUAUAUCGAUAAGGAUUUCCUUUCUCUAAGGAGUAACCCAAUAUUCGCUCAAAUUCCUCUAAUGUCAGGGCCAACUGAAAGUCUUGGAAGGUGAAACAUCUUAAGAGAGGAUCGUAAUACUGAGCCAAUGCCGUGAGGUCCCCUGUUCGCACAUUCACUGCCAAGAGAUUUAGAAUUUUCCCAUAUUUGUGAAAGAAACUCACAUUGUAUAGUUUUCAUUUGAUUGAUGAUGUCCCUUAAACUCUUCAAAUCAGGUUGCUUGAACUUUAAAAGUAAAGCUUUUCUUUUUUCCGAUCCCAUUGUCCACUUAAAUAACACGUGACUAAAGUUUGUAUGAUUCCUUAAAAAUCCUGAAAAUUUAUGCAAAAUGCCAAUUCAUUUUUCAAAAGAAACAAUGUCAUGAGAUAUGGAUGCAAUUAUGCAGAAUGACUGUUGUGAAUAUAUAACAUUUUUAAUGAAUGUAUAAGGUAUUUUUUUUGCUUAUAUGGAUAUUCUUAUGAUGAAAGGGUCUAUUGGCUUAUGUAGUGAAACUCUCACAAGGGUGGCUCUAUAGUUCUAAACAUGGUUUCUAGAGCCAAUAAUCCUAUUUUGGAAUAUUGUCAAUACCAAUAGGUAAACUAUUUGGAGUGACAAUAACCUCAACAGGAUCAAACUCUAGGUGAGAUCUUCAUGCUAACCAAACAUGAUGUACAUCCAGAAGGCUACCACUACAUAAUCUCGAAACUAAGCUUAAGUUUUGUUCAAACCCGGGUGUAAGGUUCCACUCAUAAGUGUGUGUCUCAAUAAAAGUGUAGGUGUUGAAUAACAUUAAUUCAAUAACUCCAUAAUACUAAGAAAACAUAUAUACAUAUACAAAAUAAAUAAAUAACAUAAAAUAAAAUAUAAUAUAAAAUAAUCUACUAGCCUAAAAGAAUAUUAUAAUGUCAACUAAUACUUAUUAAGAAAUAAAAAACACAUAAAGAAAAUGAAAAACAAACAAAUAUAGAAAAAAGCUAAAAAAUUAUGCACGAUUAAUUUUUAGGCUUGACUCUCGAAAUGCCCCAACUGAAGUUGCCAGCUGUUGCGGCCUAAAAGUUCGAGUUUUCAUCGAAUUUAAUGGAGUCGCCACCAAAAUUUAUUUUAAAAUAGGGAAAAUAUUGGAAAACCCUUAAAAAUGUAAAAAUGGUCUUUGAAACCAGAUUUUGAGUUCGGGAGUCGAUUAUGCAUAGAGAAGGUAUUAGCAUCCUACGACAUCCGUUAAAAUACGGUUACCUUUAAUUAAUUGUGCAAAGUUAUAUCAACUUAAAUAUAUUUAUUUUUCUUUAUUAUUAAAUAUGAAUAUAAAUUGUUUUUUAUAAAUGUGAUUUUUGAGAUAAAAAUGUGUUAAAAAAAGAGUGGAAAAAAGAAACCUUUUAUUAGUGUGCUUGACAAAAGUGUGAUCUUGCUCCUACGUAUCUCCCGGUGCGAUGGAUAAAUCAAAACUACGUAGUUCUUGAUUGAAAAUGUGAAUGCAUUGAUUGCUUUUAAAUAAAUUGUAUUUUGUUACUUAAAAAAGUUAAUUUUGACGAACAUAAAAAAAAAAAAAAAAAACUUGUUUGGAUUGAAAAAAUAUUUUAAAAAAUGAUUUUNNNNNNNNNNNNNNNNNNNNNNNNNNNNNNNNNNNNNNNNNNNNNNNNNNGUUCUUGAUUAAAUGUGAAUGCAUUGAUUGCUUUUAAAUAAAUUGUAUUUUGUUACUUAAAAAAGUUAAUUUUGACGAACAUAAAAAAAAAAAAAAAAACUUGUUUGAUUUGAAUAAUUAUUUUAAAAUAUGAUUUUUAAAACGAUCGAGUUGUAUAACUCGUGUUUUAAAACUCAAGGAGUAAAAAGAGGUCACGUCUAAUUUAUCCCUCUUUAGAAUAUUUUUUUAUAAAAUAGAGUUUCAAGAAGACCAAGUAGUACGACUUGUGUCUUAACAAUUCCAAGAUUAAAAAACACAUCUAAUUAAAUUUAAAAAAGUUGAUUUUUAAUCUAUUCAUUUAUAAAAAUAAAUUUUAAAUCUAUCAAAAUAUAUAAUUUGUAUUAUGUAAUUCAAGGAUUAAAAUGUCAUUUUUAAUUUAUUUGUGAGUAUGAGAUUUAGAACCAUCAAAUUGUCACAAUUUAUGUUCUAAUAACUCAAAGAUUAAAAAGAUGUCACAUCUAGUUAAUUUUUAAUGAAAUAUUUGUUAUUAUUUUAUUUAUUUUUUAAAAAAAUGAUACUAAAUAUUAAACAAGUUAUUUUUUCGAAAUAAAAUUAGUAAUAAACACGAGAAAAAAAUAGGAAAAAGAAAAAUAUAUGGACUUUAUCUUAAUCUAAAAAAUAUUUUGAAACUAAUUACAAAUGUAAUCCUCUUUUAAACUAUUUUUUUUUUUUAAUUUAAUAAGUGAAGAAAUAAAAAUUAUUUUAAUAUUAAAUAGCACCACCCAAAAAAGAAAAAUUUAUUAUAAUAUGAAAUAAAUUAUAUGUAUCGCCAUUUAAUUAUAUCCAUAAUUACUUAUAUUAAUUAGAAUUAUUAUGAAUAAAUGAAAUAAAAAUCAUGAAGAUUUGGAAGAGGAAGAAAAAGUCCAUUGAUCACACACAGUUAUUACUAAAUAAAUCUAUAUUUAAUAGGACUAUUAUUAUUAUUAUUAUUAUUAUUAUUAUUAUUAUUAUUAUUAUUAUUAUUAUUAUUAUUAUUAUUAUUAUUAUUAUUAUUAUUAAAUGUAAUACAACUAAAUAGUCAAUGUGAAACAGUUGGCAGCCUGACAUGAAUAUAGAUAAGGCAUAUUACGAGUACGAUCAGACAAAACAGGCAAAUUUCAAAAGGCCAACAAUCAAAUUUCGAAAAGGGCUUAGCAAAACAAGUUUCAGCGUAGCAACAAACAUAUUCCAUACAUCAGAAAUUAUUCACAAACAAAAUACUAACCACACAUAAUCUCGGCCAAAACUCAUUCAUGUCUAACAAAACAAAAUUUCAACCUUCAAUAUUAUACAGCUUUGAACAAGAGAGCAAAGAAUGCGAAAUUAGGUUUGAAGGCUAUGGUUGAUGGGAAGCAAUCUGAUGGUAGAUCUUCCUUUAUUUUUUGUGGUAACACUCUCUCUUUCUAUUGUUUUUUAGAAACAAAAAAAGCAAGAAAUGAAAGUCUCCCAAUUUGUAUCUUUGUGAUUGUUUUUCUGUUCUCCCCUGUUUUGAUUUUUUUCUUCCAAUAUAUAGGCUAAAACGAGGAAAGGUUGUGUUCAUCGUAUAAAUUAAUUUCUGGUUUGGCAACUACAUCAAGCAAACUGAUACAAUUAAGGGGAAGGGUUGUGUUCAUCAUAUAAAUUUAGUUCUGGAUUUUACACUGGUUUGACAACCAAGCAACUGAUACAAUUAAGGGAAGGAGGGGAUGGUCUUUUUGAUUGAGUAUUCAAGAUGAUAAAAUUAAUACCAUUAUUAGAUUGAAAAAUAAUAAAAUUAAAAUAAAUGAAUAGAUAGAGUGUGGAGAAAGGAAUUGAGGAAGCAGGAAACAUGGUUGGCUGCACACGGCACAUCUCACACGCGCAACAAAACAUGGAAAAGCAGAGUAUUACAAUUUUUUGUUGUAUUUUUAAUGUUAAAUGUAUUACGAUUUUUAGACAAAUAUACUUUUUAUUUGAAUUAUCUUUAUUUGAUGAACAAAAUUGAGGUGUUACAAUUAUUAUCGACCCACUUGCAACGAAAUAUGGGAACACGAAACAUUGUGUAUUCUAACUCCCAUAUGUGCUCGAUAACCCCAAAAUCUGAUAGAUUUGCAUAUAUUGGGUUUUUGUCUUUUGAACUUGAGAUAUGCAUCAGUUCAGGUACGAGAGUGACUCCGCUAUUUUGCAUAGUGGUUUGAUCAUCUUGUUCUUUGGUAUAAAAUGUGUAGCCGUUAAUUACAUAAUUGAUGUAAGAAAAGACAUGUAAACUCGGACCAUUUGCUAGCAACCUCAGUCUCUAUGAAAUUGAACCGGGGUCUAUAUCAAACUUUGAGUGAAUGUGAUUUUUUAGCCAUGUUAUAAAACUUCGAUUUUGCUCUCAUGUUAUGCAAUUUUGAUUCCUAUUCAUGGUCAAACUAGAUAACUGAUCCAUGUGUAUUGUAACAUACGGCUGAACCUCAUCAUCAUUGUGCAUUACAUACAAUUGUGUCUGCUCCCAUUUUGUCCUUGGUAUAGUCAUUACUCUCUUUCUAAUUAUCCCUUCUCAUGUUAUUCUUCCCGAAUGACGAGACAUGGGAAGCCCUAUGGAUUCAACAUUGGAUAAAUAUUCAGUACAAAAUUCAGCAACCUCUUCGACAAUAUACUGUUCAACCAAACAACCCUCUGGUCGACUUCUACUUUUUACUUACUCUUUUAAUAUUUUCAUAUAUCGUUCUAUCGGAUACAUCCAUCUCAUAUAAGUUGACCCACAAAGUUAUGUCUCCUUAACAAGAUGAACAGUAAGGUGAACCAUUAUAUCAAAAAACGANNNNNNNNNNNNNNNNGGGAAAAUACAUUUCAAGCUCACACAGAGUAACAAAAAUUUCCCUCUACAAUGUCGGUAAUUUAUGAGGAUCGAUCAUUUUACUACAAAUUUUCCUAAAGAAGAAACAUAAUUUAGUUAUGGCUCGUCAAACUUUUUCAAGUAAAAUGGAACGUAUACCUAUUGGUAGCAAAUGCUCCAUCAGAACAUGACAAUUAUGAGUCUUCAAAUCUUUUACCUUGAGGUCUUUCAUACAAACUAAAUUUUUAAUGUUUGAAGAGUAUGCGUUUGGAACUUUAACUUCGUGUAGAAAUUUACAUAAAACAUUUAUUUUUCCUUUCUAGAUAGAGUAUGAGCGGCUAAAGGUAGAUAUGUGUGAUUUCCUUUCUUUACGGGACUCAAUUCAUUUCAUAUUCCCAUAUCGACCAAGUUCAAUCUUGCAUUAAUGUCAUCCUUAGACUUUCCUGGAACAUUAAGUAACGUACCAAUAACAUUAUCAAAUAUUUUUUUUUUCAAUAUGUAUCACAUCGAGAAAAUGUCUUAUAUAAAAUCACUUCCAAUAUGGCAAUUAAAGAAAAUUGACUUUUUCUUCCAUCCAAUUUUGCAAGCUCUCCCGCAAAAGGUUUGCCAAAUUUAUUGGUCAAACCCUAUACUUUUUCAAAUAUUUGAUAUCCAAUCGGUGCUAAAGGAGUAAUACAUUCCUCUGAUUUUACAUUGAAUGCAUUUCUCCAUCCACGAUAAUGAUGACUAAAAGGUAAAAAUCUACGAUGUCCAAGAAAUAUGUUCUUCUUACAAUGUUUCAACCGCAUCCAAUUUGUACUAUCUUCACAUAUAGGACAUGCACACCGACCUUUAAUGCGAUAUCCUGAUAAAUUACCGUAUGCUGGAAAAUCAUUACUUGUGACAAACAACAUAACCCUCAAAUUGAAAUAUUCUUUCUUAUACCCAUCGUAAAUUUCCACACCUAUCUCCUGUUACAGAAAUUUCCAAAAUAUAUUUGGAUUUUUCUAAUAGCUAUAUUAAUAUAGAAAAAUUAAAUAAUUGCAUGUAUCACUUGGUCAAGUGGUUGCAAUGUUUGGGUUUAAUUCAACCCAAUGCAUCUAUUAAGUUAUCAAAAGUUGCAAUAUUUCACAAGAGUUGUUUUCUUUCACCAAUUGGUAUGAGUUGAAGAGUUGUUUUCUUUUACCAAUUGAUAUGAGUAUCUCUAUAAAUAGAGAUAUUUUAGAGGCAGAAAAAACACAAGAUAAACAACACAAAAUUCAUGUUACAUGAGUCAAAAUUAUGUCAAAAAUAUUUCUGAGUCAUUUCUUCUUUUCUCUAGUGCACGAGAGUAAAUGAAGAAACUUUAUUUUGUAAACUAUCAUUGAUCAAUAGACUUGAUGUGAAUGUGCAAUUCACUUCAAGGAUUCCAAAGUAUCCUGAAGGGGAUUCGUCGGUUAACCCGUUUGCAUCCAAUAUAUAUAGAUUGGUGGGGGCGAAUCGAACCUAAAGUUUAGUGUGAUACACACGCUUUGGAAUUUAUUUGUGCAACCUUCAUCAUCAUCAAGAUCAUCCUCUUCUUGUUCAAGAUUUGCAGCAUACCACCAACAAAAGAUCCAACAUCUCCCACAUAUUUUUUAAAUCUUCAAUUAAAGGAGUCAAGUAUACGUCGAUAUCAUUCCCCAGUUGUUUGGGUCCAGAAAUUAACUGAGACAACAUCAUAAACUUACGCUUCAUACGUAACCAUGGAGGUAGGUUAUAAAUCAACAAAAUCACAGGCCACAUGUUGUGUAAGAUUCUUUGAAGACCAUGUGGAAUCAUUCAUCAAUAGAAAGUGAAAGUCGUAGAUUUCUUGACUCUUUCCCGAAAUUAGAAUACUCGUGAUCAAUUUUUUUCCAUUGUGGAGAAUCUACAGUGUGUCGAAAUUUUCCAUCUCAAAUUCUUUCAUUUGCAUGCCAUGUCAACCGUUUUGAAUCUUCUUCAUUGUGAUAGAUGCUCAUAAAUCUUGGUAUUAUAAGAAAAUAGCACACGACUUUUGUUGGACAUUGCAUUUUAGACACGCCUUUAGUAAUUCAUAUUUGUUUCUAAAUAAAACGCAAUCGUUAGAACACGCAUGCAAUCGUUAGCCUCGUAGGUUCGACUGGGAAGUUCAUUAUCAUCUAACAACAUAUCUUUUAAGAGUCUUAAUAAUUAUGUGAAGCUUUUAUCAGACCAUCCAUUAAUCGCUUUAAAGUUGUACAACUUUAAUAUCGCCGACAGUCUUGUGAAUUUAGUACAACCAUUAUAUAAUGGUUUCUCUGCAUCACUCAACAAACUCUCAAACAUUUUAGGACAGUCUUGAUGAUCUUCUUCAACUGCUUUUGCAAUCUCCUCAACUCGGUCCCGCUCAUAUGUAUAUGUGUUGAAAUCAUUUGAAGCAUAUGUUGAACCAUUCUCAAAAUUAGUGUUCCCUUUUUUUCUCACCAUGUAUUAUCCAACAUGUAUAGCUUUGAUCAAUUUCAUGCCAUACUAAAUGUCCUUCCAAUUGAUAUGCUCUAAUGCGCUUUCCAAAACAACAUUUUAAAUAAGGACAAAUGAUUCGAUUUGGGUCUUUUGCAUUCUUCACUACAAACUCAACAAACUCAUUCACUCCAUUUUCAUACUCGUUUGACAAUCGAUUAACAAACAUCCAUUUCCAAUCCAUUUUAUAUGACCUAAAUGAAUGCAAUGUUACACAAAAGAUAAACUAUUGAUAACAUUAUACCAAUCUAUAGUAUAUAUAGUAUAGUAUUAGAAAAUGGAAACCAAGGUCCAAGGUUAUGCAUACACGUCUGAUUUCAAAAUGUAACAGAUUGAAUAGAUUUCAAAAAAGAACAGAUUUUAUAUAAUUUAUCAAGGUUAUGUCAUCUGCUAUCAGGUAACAUUUUAUAUGAUUUAUCAGGUAACAGUUUAUCAAUUUUAGUGACAACAACAAAUUAAUAAAUAAUUGCAGUAGAAAUACCUGAGACAACAGUCACUCAAUAGAAAUGGAUGCACAAUAGAUGAGGGUUCAGCGAGAAGAGGGCGCAUAUAGAGGAUGGUUCCAUAGUAGAGGAGAAGAGGGUUCGCACAAUAGAGGAGAGGAGGGUUCGUAGGGUUAGGGAGAAAACAUAUUAAAUAUGUUUUUAUUUAUAUAAAGGGAAUCAUUUUUAUCAAAUACGCACCAUUUUACAACGCUUAUAUAGAAAGCACUCUAAAAGACCCUAUAAUUAUGUGAAAGCGCUCUAAAAGCGUUGUAAACAUAAUGCGGGAGCGCUAAAAUUUACAAAGCUUGUAUACAAAACGCUCUAAAAAGCGCUGUAAACAUUAUGCGAUACCGCUAUAUUUUACAACGCUUAUAUCCAAAGCGCUGUAAACAACAAAUUAAUAUACUACAAAGCGCUAUGUGACCUACAUCAAUGCUUUCAGUAAGAGCGAUAUAAACAUUAUGACCCUACAUAAAACAGCGUUUUUGCAAAAGCACUUGUCAGAAAAACGCUGUUGUAUCCUCCGUUAAUUUUAAAAUAUAAUACAACAACGCUUUUAGUUAAAAAAAACAGUGUAGUGAUUGUUGUAACUAAUAUAAUUUUUACCAUUUAUAAUUUUUUAUUAUAUAAUUUAAAAUAUUUAAAUUUAACAAAUAAACUAGCUAAAUUAUAAAGUAUAUCAGAUUAAUAUUAAAUAAAUAAAUAAAAAUGUCAAGUUGCUAAAUUUUAGAUUACUAAAAAAAAUCAUCUCUAAAAGAAUAAAUUUUAAAUUAUAACUUUUAAAAUAUUUUAAAUAUUAAUUGAUAAAAUUUAUUUUCAAUUAAGAAUGUCAUUUUAUGUUAUUUUGUAUUUUUUAAAUGAUUAUUUAGAUAAUUAAUAUUAAUAAUUAGUUGUUAAUUUUUUAAACGGAAUAAAUUAAAUUUAUAACCUCCUUGUUAUUUGAACUAUUCAAAACGUCAAACCACCUUAUAUGACAUCUAAUUUUAAAGUAAUUAAAUCAUUAUUUUAGAAACACUUCAACUAAUAUAAUAACUAUAAACUAUAAAUAUGUUUCAAUAUCAAUCAAAAUUUAUGAACUGAGUCACUAAUAAAAUAGAAGUAAAAAAAAAUAAAGAGAAAAAGGAGGGAGAUGAGGUAUCGGAAAAAGAGAACAAAAACUGAGAAGAGGAAGACAAGAAGUUAAAAAGAUUUGAUUAGUAAGCAUUUAUUUUGUUAUCACAAAAGUAUAUGAAGAUAGCGUAAUAGUAUAGUGUGCUGUUGUUUGUUUUUGACAAAAGUUUACUCUUGUUUGUUAGUUCUUAUCUUUAUUUUUGUAUUAUUUCACUUAAUAGCUUCAUUCUCGAAUAUCACAUGGAGACGUGCGCCGAAUGCAAAAUCUAUAUCCACAAUAUGUCAUUAUAAAAAUUUUAAUUUUGAUCAAUUCUAUAUUUUUUUUUGGAGAGAUAUGAAAUUUGUUUUAAAAGUAUAGUUUACGCCAACUUAUAAAUUUUUAAAGUAAUCUUAUUAGAAUAUUUUAUAUACUCCCAUUUUCUAAGAGAUUAGGUCCUCUAUAGUUAAGUAAAAUGACGAAGGGAAAGACCAUUAUUUUCAAUAAACCCCUGAUUUUUAUUAUAUAUAAAAAAGAAAUAAACUCAUAAUUUUUUAUCAUAUAUCUUUAUCAUAUUUAUAUUUAAUUUACUAAUUAAUACUUAUUUUGUCUCAUUUUAAUUGACUGAUUUGAGUUGGGUACAGUUUUUUAAAAAAUGAUUAAUUUUUUUAUUUUAAUCAUAAAUAAAUAUACAAUAAAUAAAUAUAUACUAAUAAAAAAAUUAAUUAAUGUUAUAUUAGUAUUAUAAAAUGACAAAUAAUUUGAGAUUAAAAAAAUACAAAUAAGAGAUGUAAAAUAAAACAGGUAGAGUAUUAAAUUAGUCCAAAAAUAUAGAGCAGCUCUUGAUAUGUUUUGUUACAUUUUUUUUAUAAGACGUCUUUUAAAUGUUUAGAAGUAUAAAUGAUUUUGUUAACUCACAUACCUCUAAAUAAUUUUUUUUUGUUUGCAAUUAUAAAAAAAUACUACUCUCUAUUUCACAAUAUUUGUAAGUUGAUCGUUUCACAUAUAUCAAGAAAAAAUGAUAAACAAAAGAACAAAAAUGAAAAUUAUUUCUUGAAAUAAUAUUUUUAAUUAUUGGUUGAUUUUCAUUAUUGCAAAUGUAAAGUAGAAAAAUAAUAACUUAAGAGUUGUAUAUAUAAUAUUAAUUAGAUGACAUAAAAGAUAAAAAGUAAUGAAUAUUAUAUUAAAAAUUAAAAAUGACAAUUAUUUUAGAAAAAUGGUUAAAAAUGAAAAUUAUUUUUAUAAUUUUUUAUUAUAAAAAUUAUAUUUUAUUGGAAUAUUCCAUUCUAAAAACUGAUAUAAAAAUUAUAUACACUCCCAUUCUAAAAACUGAUAUUUUAUUGGAAUAUAAAUUUUAAUACAGACACCGUGUAUAUAUUUAUAUAUUUUUAUUUAUUUUAAAAAAUUAAAUUAAAAAUAAUUUUUUAAAACAACAUAUAAAUUUAUAUUAAUUAUUUUAAAUACGUUACUAAUCAUUAAAAUACAUGUGAUUAACUACUUUUUAAAUAUAUAUUUUAUUAAUCAUUAAAAUAUAAGAUACAAACCAUUUUAGAGUCUUUAACUAUUAAAUCUCCAUACUCUGAACAAUUAAUAUCUUGUAUUUUAGUAAUAAAUAAAAAAUAUGUUAAAUAAAUAGUUAAUGGAAUAUUUAAAAUGAUUGAUGGUAUAUAAGCUUGUAUAUAUUCCAAUAAUAUCUCUCAAAAAUUAAAAAAAGAUUAAAAAUAAUUGAAAUUUUUAAAAUUUAUUUUUAGAUAAAAAUACUGUUUACCGUGUAAAUAUGGUGAAGAAACCUCUAAAGUGUUAAGUAUUGUCUCUAAAAAUUCUAAUUUUGAUAAAAUCGAUUGUUUUGGAAGAUUAAAAUUCUAGUUUAAGAGUAGAGUUUACGUCAGCUUAUUAAAAAAUUUUAUUUAAGUAAUCUUAAUCUAAAUAGAAUAUUUUAUUUAUAAAAAAUUGAGAAUAUUUUAUUAAAUAAAAAAUUGAGAAUAUUUUAUUAAUAAAAAAUUGAGAAUAUUUUAUAUACUUCCAUUUUCUAAAAGAUUAGGUCCUCUAAAGUUUGUGAAAUGAAGAAAGAAUACACCAUUACUUUCAAUAAACUCGUGAUUUUUAUUAUAAAAAUCAUAUUUUUGAUAAAUUGUAUUUUUUUGGGAAGAUAUGAAAUUUGUUUUAAAAGUAUAGUUUACGUCAACUUAUUAAAAAAAUUAAGUAAUCUUAAUAGAAUAUUUAAUAUACUCCCAUUUUUAUCUGUCUCAUUUUAGUUGUCUGAUUUAAAUCAUGCUCAUUUCUUAAAAAAUGAUUUUUUUUUUUGUUUAUUUAUCAAUGAUAAAAUAAGUUUUAUUUACUCAAAUAUGCUUAUUAAUUGUGGUCAGUUGAUAAAUUUGAUAAAUUAAAAUACAAUUAAUAACAAGUAAACCACCAAACUGCCCCCGAAUUUUGAAAAUAUGUAAAUUACACUCUGAAAUUGAAAGACGUUGACAAUAUAGUGACUUGUUAGUUUAGUCCUUUAAUGAAGUUGAUGAGAUGUUAACCGUUUAUGUGGUGAGUCUAACUAUUAGCCAACAAAAUUGAAACUCAAUUUAAAAAAGAAACACACAAAUUCUAUCAUAAUUGCAACUGUAACAUCUCUAUCAAAAUAAUUUAUCCGUGUUCUUCCUCCAUGAUUUCAUAUCUUCUUCUUUCAAGAACAUUCAUUUAUCUAAUUUAUUCUUCUUCCACUUUUAUGGUGUUCAAUUUGUAGAAAAUAAACGAAUAAAAAAUAACUUAUUCUUCUUUCUCCAUGGAUUGAAGUUUGAAUCCGGUGACUCAAAGAUUGUAUUGCAAUUUUUAAUAUGACUUUAGGGAUCAAAUUGCUAGUAAGUGAACAAUUUUACGAAACAAUUUGAUGAUUUACUCAAUAAAUAACAAUAUAUUAAUAGAAAAAUAAUUAAUAAUGUAUUGAUAUUAUAAAAUAAUAAAUAAUUUAAGAUAAAAAAUGGCAAAUUAAUAAGCAUUUAAAAUACUAAAUUAGUCUAUAAGACAUGCUUUUUAUAAAACAUUCAAUGUCCUAAUCCAAAUCACUCAGAUUAAAUCUUUGAGGCCUAGGACUAAGUUGAUUGAUAUUUUCAAUUUAAGAGAUUCAAGAAUAAAAUGCCUAUUUAUUUUAUAUUAAGAGUACAAGAUGGCAAACAUUUUGACGUCAUAAUUUGGACUCCUAAAUUAUCUUUUUGACGUCAUCAUUCUUCUAUAUAAACUGUUCUCUAGUGCUUAAAUUGUCAUAACAAAUCCAUCAUCCUAUUAUUAAACAAAUUGAAUAUUUGAGAAAAAAGUAAGAUUAAUUGUGAUAACCAUGGCAAGUACUACUAGAAGCUUAAUCUUUGCAACAUUAAUGAUUACUGCAUGCAUCUUAAUGUUAGGAAUUUCAGCUCAAUUUGAAUGUGGUGGUGACUUGAUUGGAAUGUUACAUGAAUGUAAAGGUACUGCUAGAAAAGAUGGACCAUCAACUCCACCCUCAGAAGUUUGUUGCGGAGCAUUGAGCGGUUUUGAUGCUUCAUGUUUAUGCAAUUAUGUCACUUCUGAUAUAGUGGAUCGUGUAUUAGACAUGGACAAAACAAUUAAUCUUUUUAGGACUUGCGAUUCCAAAAAUAUUCCUAACGACAAGUGUGGACGUAAGUUACUUUUCUUUCUAUUAUUUCUUAUUAAUUAAAAUUCUUCAUCGAUUAUAGAACAUUAAUUUGGUUGUCAGAAAUUUUCUAAUAAUGUCAAAUAUAAAUGUCAUAUUUCAGCUUAUGAUAUUCCUGAAGCUGCUCCUGCAAAGGCAUGAUGACAACAUUCGACGCAUAAAUGCAACUUGUGUUAUAGCUUCACAUCCAUUAUCUCUAUCAAAUCAUCAAUAAAUGAUACAAGCUAUGCGUCUUUUUAUUAUUUAAUAAUGAAUAAAUUAUUCGUGAG
rnacentral:lncRNA from 1 species